rnacentral:lncRNA from 1 species
AGCCAAAACAAUGUCUCUACUGUUGGCCAACAUUAUCUUGCCAAGUAGCAUAUCGGGCCUGUCCGCGAAGGCAAGAUCAUGGGUUUUUAGUACCUCUUUGGCGACUCGAGGCGAUGAGACAACAAUAGCAGGAAUUUUACCAAGUUGUAGAUGCAUGAGAGGUCCAUGUUUCCUUGACAAUUCAAGGAGACCGCGAUGCGGUAUCGGAUUUGAAGCAGCCACUUGCAUCAAAUUUCCGAUCAGAGGUAGCUUCCAUGGCCCUGGGGGAAGUUUAUGAGCUGCUUGCGAUGAUCUUUUUAAUAACUUAUUGAUCAACAAAAAUAAAAAGAGGAUGCUGGCUAGGGAUGUACUAAUGAUAGAGAAGAGGGAAUAUUGGAACUCCAUUAUACUAUUUGUUAAACCAAUUGAUUCAGAAAUUCUGUGUACUUAUUUUUGUUGAAGAUAUUGCCAUUUUAUACUCGAAUGGAUUAGCCAACUUUCGAGUAUUAAAUUAAAACAAGAAGAACUUUUUAGGUGGAGUUGCCUCUCGAGGAAACUUCAAAAAAAUCUGGUCGCUUUGAACAUUCAAACUAGGUUGCUAUAAUAGAAAUAGUAUUUCAAGCAAAGUAGACCAAGGGAAUUUUUCAAACUUCGUAAAUAAACGAAAAAAUCAAGUCAUCACCGUGACUUGACUUAAAUAUAAAAAAAUUAUAACAAGUGCAUUAUAUUUGCGCAACAUAGUUCUAGUACACAUGCGAGAAUGCAAUAUUAGCUCACAAAGGUCUGUAAUCAAGCCGCUUUUAAGUAUUGUUUUUGAACAUCAUCUUAAUUAUUCUAUCCGUUCGAAUUAUUAGAUUAAUAUUUAAUUUUUAAAAGUUAAUUUGAGAUAUUUUAAAAAUUAAAAUAAACACGAUUUUUUAAGUUUUAAAAAUAAUAAAUAUCAUAGGUUGAUAUUUACAUUAUAACUUGAAGUUUCCUACUAGUCAUCACUCAUGGGCGAUGAUGAAGGUAUUUGUUUUACAUUAUAACUUGAAGUUUCCAUCUAAUUGUGACAAGUUAUCUUUUAGUAAGUGCACACUUUCAUCUUUCUCUAAUUUGUUGUAUAUAUUUUAGAGAUACUGCUUUGUGGAGUCAAAUUCAAGACUAAUUAGGUUUUCUAAAGGUAAUUUUGUACUCAAUUUAUUAAGUAAUCAAGUUUUAGGGUAUAAAACUUGAGAGGAAUAUUGUAAGCUCGGACAUACAAUAUUAGGGGCAUGUACAGUGGAGAUUCAAAAUUUCACCCGUUGUAUUUCACUUUUAAGGGUUUGGGAAAUUAUUUUCAAAGAUUGAAAUUAUUUGAGGUUCACUUUUCCCAAUAAUAAUAUCCCUUCGUGUUUGACAACAUAAAAAUGUCACUAGUUGACCACUUUCUAGAUAACUAGUAAGUACUAUCGAAAAGCAGUUUGUAUAGGCGAUAUAUAGUGGAGAUUCGAAUUUUGACCCGUUGUAUUUCACUUUUAAGGGUUUGGGAAAUUAUUUUCAAAGAUUGAAAUUAUUUGAGGUUAACUUUUGCCAAAAGUAACAUCCCUUCCUGUUUGACAACAUAAAAAUGUCACUAGUUGACCACUUUCUAGAAAACUAAUAAGUACUAUAGAAAAAGCAGUUUGUAUAGGCAAUAACCCAGUUGCUUCAAUUUCCUUUUCAUGGGCAUUGUUUUACAUGUUUCCUAUGUUUGCUGGUUUCUAUAAUUCCUGGGAAAUGCCGCAUUAGUAAAACAUGCUUCCUCUGUUGGAUGUGACAUUGGUUAAACAUGUCUCAUCUGUUGACGGCUUGGCUUGAUUACUUGCCCUGACUUCCGCAUUGUUAAACAUGUUACUUCAGUUGAGGGUGUUUGAGAUGGCUUGAGUAAGACGAUUUUCGUGAGAAAAUUAUUUCCUUCUUAAAUUAUAUUACUAAUUAUUUUGGUUGAAUUAUACAUCUAUCCGUCUAAGUUGUCAGCUAUAUCUAAAUCUAAAUCUAAAUCUAUUUGGCUAUUAAACCAAUUCAAAUUCGAAUUGGAGUAUUUUAAGGAGAUUGGAAUUGGUGUUUAAUUUAAAGUAAAAGGCAACAAGGUGGUUUCUAAACCUUAUCAUUGAUAUUCUAAUAUAUGUGUUUAACAUGUUAUAUCUUUUAAUUAAUAUGGCUAGGAUAUAUUUUCUAAUAUAUGUGUUAUCUGCUGUUUUUUUUAUAUAUAUAUAUAGAAAAAGCAAUUUGUAUAGGCAAUAACCCAGUUGCUUCAAUUUCCUUUUCCUGGGCAUUGUUUUACAUGUUUCCUUUGUUUGCUGGUUUCUGUAAUUCCUGGGCAAUGCCGCAUUAGUAAAACAUGCUUCCUCUGUUGGAUGUGACAUUGGUUAAACAUAUCUCAUCUGUUGACGGCUUGAUUACUUGUCUCAUUUGUUUACUUCAGUUUGAGAUGGACGAAAGAGGCUUCAUGUGCUUCAUGCUUUCAAUUUAAAAUCUCUAGAAAGCUGUACCAAUGGACGAAAGAGGCUUCAUGUGCUUCAUGCUUUCAAUUUCGUAACUUUAGUUGUAAUAUACAUGUAUAGUUAGAUAGUGUAUGUAUAAACUAGUUAGUGAUUUCCGCACCAAAAGGUGUUCUUCUAAUUUGGUGGCUGAGAUUUCUUUUUUCCUGGGAAUUGUUGCAUUGGUUAAACAUGUUUCUUAUGUGACCCGAGACGACCCGAGAAAUCGGAUAACCUUGUAAUAGGUUUUAUUGUGAAUAUCUAAUAAAAUAAAAUUUAUUAAUAUUAUUAUGUAUUAUAUGAUUUAGGUCGAUUAAUGACCUAGUUUAGUGUUAUGUGAUUAUGUAAGAGUGUUGGGAAAUUUUGGGUAAAAAUUAAUUAUUUCCGAGAAAAACUCUAAAUCACUAUUCAUAAAACGCAAAAAACGCUUUUUCGUUUUUUUGAACUUUUCGAAUUACGACAUAAAAUUUAUUUAGAAAAAGGAGACGAAUUCUCCAAUAAAAAUAUUUUUUUAUUAGAAAAGACGUAAAAUCACUAUUCACGCUAAAAACGUGUUUUUCAAACUUUGACAUAUUGUUUGUUUGAGAAAUGGGGAUAGAAAGUGAAAUCGAAAUUUAGAAAAGAGGUGAAUCAGCUCUGAAAUAUGAGUAAUUCUCACAGAAUGACGUCUCCCCUCUUUUUCUGUGAGAACUACCCAUAUGAUCGAGGAAUUCGGGUUAAAUGCUUUCUAGGUCACUGUACUAUAGGAAUUCGGGUUAAUUAUCCCACGUGGCCUUGAUUAUGUGGAUCUAAAAGGAAAAAUUUAUACCAAAUGAAUUUUUAUUUAAUUCUUUACAAAUAAUAAUAUAAAUUAGAAAAAUUUGUCAAAAAAAAGAAAAUAAAUAAAAUAUAUAUUUAAAUAUUUUUCCUUUAAAUAUAUAAAUUUUCCUUUUAGAUCCACAUAAUCAAGGCCACGUGAGAUAAUUAUUGACACAUAAGUUUUUUUUUCCAACUCAAUUGCUUGCAUGUCAAAUUUCGUUAAAAGUCAACAGACUUAACGUAAUUGCAAACGUUUUGUUAGUAAACUAAAGUUCAGUGAGUUGACUGUAAGAAAAAAAAGUUCAGUGACCUAUUUGUAAGUCGACCUAUAAUACAAUGACCUAUAAGCAUUUAACCUUGAGGAAUUCCAAGUGGUCAGAAGCUAUCUAUUUCAUGGAUUUGACCCAUAUCAAGCGAUGAUUCAUUCCUAGUAAAGAAGUUAUCGUUCGUUCAUCUAGAAGGUUUCUUAACCUGGAACUUUGUUCAAUAGCUUAAUGGCACUCCUUCGGGAUGUUGUCAUCUGUUAUGAUGGAACAAUGGGAAAUGUCCGUAGUAAUUCAAUUAACUUAUUAUUCGAGUAUGCGAAACAAAUAGGAACUAUGACCCAUAUUUUUUUUGAUGCUGAGGAACCAAUUAGAGUAUUAGUUGCAACUAUUAUAUCGAAUUCUGCAUACAAGGAAGUCCUCGACUCUUCUCCUAGUAUUUGUUUUACAUUAUAACUUGAAGUUUACAUUUAAUUGUGACAAAUUAUGUUCCAGUAAGUGCAUAUUUUCAUCUUUCUCCAAUUUGUUGUAUAUAUUUCGGAGAUACUGCUUUGUGGAGUCAAAUUCAAGACUAAUUAGGUUUAUCGCAGAUUCAUAUUAUACUUUCAUGAUAGAGAUUAUGAGAGAAAGUAUUUUCCAAGAAAAUGCUGAUAUUUGGUUACAAAACAUUCGAAAUAAGUCGGUCUUAAGGAUACUGCAGUUGAGUUAUUAUAGAGUAUGUUCUCUCUUUUAUUUAUUUUAAUUAAAUCAUUUUUAUUCUUUUUUUUAAUUAAAUCAUUGUCAUUUGAGUAUAUAAACAUAUAUAUCUUUCAGUAUUUUAUAUAAACAUCUUGACGAUAUUAUAUUCCUUGAACAAACAUAUUACGACUUCUCAUUCAUUAUAGAUUCAAGACUAGCACGAUAAAGUUUCCCACCAAUACUCCUUGAGAAGUGUAAAAGCUGGUUUGUCCCACCUCUCCAUAAAAUCGGGAAACAACCUCGGUUUUAAAGCCUUAGGCCUUUCAGUUGUUACUCCUAUUUUUGCAAAAUCAACUGCCAUAGAGUGAAUGGUUGUCAACUGAGACAUUUUUUACUCAUAGUCUUAUCUGACUCAAGGUCUGCAUGUACUAAAUGUAUAGUAGAGAUUGAACCAAAGGUAUCAUUGAUCAGAUAAUUAUUCAACAAAGAACUUUUUGUUAUAAAAUGUCAAGAUUCAUAAUAUUAUGGAUGUCUAGAUACAUGUAACUCUCAUUGAGUAUUAAAAUGUAUGACUCUUGAGUUUUGUAACUUCCUAGUAAUAUUGAUGUUCUUAUUUCUAUAAAUAAGACAAUUGUAAAGUGAUUGAGAGAUAUACAAAUAUUAUGCAAAUACUCUCUUUUCUGUAAUCUUCUUUGUUCUUGUUCAUAAUAUUAAUCUUUUAUUAUAAGACCCCAACUUUUAUGAAUAAAGAUGAUUUUUCUAUAAAUAUCAUUUUUGAAUAUUAUGGAAUGAAUUUGAUAUAAUGUUAUAGUUGUGGGUAAUAUUUAUAAAUUUUGCAAAGUACGCAAGUUGUUAUAUAAUAUUCGAUUGGUCNNNNNNNNNNNNNNNNNNNNNNNNNNNNNNNNNNNNNNNNNNNNNNNNNNNNNNNNNNNNNNNNNNNNNNNNNNNNNNNNNNNNNNNNNNNNNNNNNNNNNNNNNNNNNNNNNNNNNNNNNNNNNNNNNNNNNNNNNNNNNNNNNNNNNNNNNNNNNNNNNNNNNNNNNNNNNNNNNNNNNNNNNNNNNNNNNNNNNNNNNNNNNNNNNNNNNNNNNNNNNNNNNNNNNNNNNNNNNNNNNNNNNNNNNNNNNNNNNNNNNNNNNNNNNNNNNNNNNNNNNNNNNNNNNNNNNNNNNNNNNNNNNNUAUAUAUAUAUAUAUUUGGUUGGGGCCACUAGUGGAGGUUUUGGUGGAGGGAUUUUCAACUGUGAAUGGGGUGGAGUGGUGAAGUGUGGGUGUGUGUGAAUAAUAAGUAUUUAUAUAUAUUAAAUGUGGGUGAGUGGGUUGUGGUGGAGGAUAAAGUUGGCAGGAUAUGUGAUAUUAUUUUCAAAACUUGCACCUUAUUGGUGGAACAAUCCAAUAAUGCUAUCAAUGGGGCCAUUUUUUUCAACUUGACAUGUGAUAGUUUUGUUUUUCUUCUCUUUUAAUUGGCCAGCACCCUGAAAAAUGAUGCACGGGUGGUAGGAUUUUUUUUCUUUAACAUAGCAUGUGUUUAUAUAUAUAUAUAUAUAUAUUAUUUUAUUUGUUAGUUGAUUGAAAUUGAUUCUGCAAAAUAAUUUCGUCCAUGAACAGUGCCCUUCCAUUCUCCUAUAAAUAAAAGCUCAUUCCUUCAUUAUUUCUCACGAAUUCACUGAAACUCUAGAGAGAGAAAAUUAUAGAGAGAAAGAAGAAAAGUAUUCUGCUACUUCCCUACUCUUAUAUCCAGUUUCUUUUAUGGUAAGGGGUAUUAUUUCUUUUGUAUUCAUGAAGAGAACUUCUGUUAUUCCAUUAUUUAUUAUUCNNNNNNNNNNNNNNNNNNNNNNNNNNNNNNNNNNNNNNNNNNNNNNNNNNNNNNNNNNNNNNNNNNNNNNNNNNNNNNNNNNNNNNNNNNNNNNNNNNNNNNNNNNNNNNNNNNNNNNNNNNNNNNNNNNNNNNNNNNNNNNNNNNNNNNNNNNNNNNNNNNNNNNNNNNNNNNNNNNNNNNNNNNNNNNNNNNNNNNNNNNNNNNNNNNNNNNNNNNNNNNNNNNNNNNNNNNNNNNNNNNNNNNNNNNNNNNNNNNNNNNNNNNNNNNNNNNNNNNNNNNNNNNNNNNNNNNNNNNNNNNNNNNNNNNNNNNNNNNNNNNNNNNNNNNNNNNNNNNNNNNNNNNNNNNNNNNNNNNNNNNNNNNNNNNNNNNNNNNNNNNNNNNNNNNNNNNNNNNNNNNNNNNNNNNNNNNNNNNNNNNNNNNNNNNNNNNNNNNNNNNNNNNNNNNNNNNNNNNNNNNNNNNNNNNNNNNNNNNNNNNNNNNNNNNNNNNNNNNNNNNNNNNNNNNNNNNNNNNNNNNNNNNNNNNNNNNNNNNNNNNNNNNNNNNNNNNNNNNNNNNNNNNNNNNNNNNNNNNNNNNNNNNNNNNNNNNNNNNNNNNNNNNNNNNNNNNNNNNNNNNNNNNNNNNNNNNNNNNNNNNNNNNNNNNNNNNNNNNNNNNNNNNNNNNNNNNNNNNNNNNNNNNNNNNNNNNNNNNNNNNNNNNNNNNNNNNNNNNNNUAUUUUAUCAGUUUAACAUUGUUGAAGACUAAUGAUAAUUUAUUCUGCAUUAUCUUAGUCAUAAUAUUUCUUACUGGGCUAGUUGAGCUCACCCUUUCUUUCACUGUUCUCUUCAGGAAAUGAGAACGUAGCCGGGACUAGUCGAGGAAUGGAGUGACGGUCAGAGAUGGUGUCUUAGUAGCCCUCACUAUUCUAUAACAUAGUGUAAUAAUAAAUGUAAUGAGGACUUAUUCUGAGAGUGGAUAUUGUCUAGAAGACAAUAUUUGUAUUAAAACUCACAGCUCUUGUUGUAUAUUUAAGAUUGUAUUUGUAUUCUGUACCAUGUAUUUGUUGACUCAGAAUAAGUUAUGUAUACCUAUUUUGGGGGCGUCACAUUUAUAAUACGUAAUCAGCACGAUUACUUCUCAAUUUCAUCUUGAAGAUAUUUGAUUUGAAGGAGAAGGUAUAUAUAUAUCUAUUAUCUAUGUCCAGUACUUACUUAUAUGUUCAUUUUUUUUGUAGACGUACAUCACUAUCCAUGCUUCCGGUCUCUGCAUGUAGACUGUAGUAGCAUGUUUUUCAAUAAGCCAUAGACAUUCCACCAGAAUAACAACCCCGUGCCCUUGGAAUAUAGACAAAUUGGGUUGUUGGUUUUUCCUACAAAAUUAUGCCACUGCUUGCUUACAUGAUGAUUGAGUGGAAUAUAGAAAAUCUAAUCACUGCAUGGAAAUUGUGUAUACUAUUUGCCUUUUUAUUUUCAUGUUCUAUUGCAAUGUGGGUAUUACUUAUUAUUUACAAAAUGCAUGUAAAUACAAUGGCAGUUGAUUCAGUUUAAAGUGAUAGUUCUUUUUAUGAUUUUUGACAUAUAAGUACAGUACACUUAUGAGCAUACUAAUUUAAAAGAAAAACAUACAUCUACAGACUGAAAACUAUUGCAUACAAUAUACAUGAGUUUAAUAAAUUUAAAAGUAAAUGCAUAUAUAUUUUAGUCCGUGUAUGUUGUGGUGUUUGGUUUCCAUGUGGCUUCCUGCAAAUCAUAGUUAUCAUCCAUGCAUGUAUAGAUGAAAAUAUAAGUUAUUUUCAUGUGACAUUUAAAUGAUACUAAUAGUAUUACUUGGUUUGAAUGUAAGUUAUUAUAAUGAAACAUGUUUGAGAAUAAAGGUAGACAUAUGAAAGAUUUUUCAUAUACAAACUUAAAUAAAUAGAUAUUGUAAGCUUAUAAAAUUUUUAUAACCAAAUAUUCAUGCACAUGUGGAUAGUUAUAAUAAAAUAAAUUUCUAAUGAUUUUUGAUAUUUUUUUUUAUGAAGUUACAAUGACAAAUCUUGCCAAACUUGAAUUCGUGGAACUUGAUGUUACGGGUAAGAAUUAUUUGUCAUGGAUCCUUUAUGCCGAAAUUCAUCUUGAUACAAUGGGUCUUGGAGACACGAUUAAAGAUGGUAAUAAAACACCUAAUCAAAAUAAGGCAAAGGCCAUAAUUUUCUUACGCCAUCAUCUUCAUGAGGAGUUAAAAUUUGAGUAUCUCACAGUAAAAGAUCCUCUUAUUCUUUGGAAAAAUUUUAAAGAAAGAUAUGACCAUCAAAAUACAAUUAUUCUCCCAAAAGCUCGUUAUGAUUGGAUGCAUUUACGAUUGCAGGACUUUAAAUCAGUAAGUGAAUAUAAUUCUGCAAUGUUUAAAAUCAGUUCUAAAUUGAAAUUAUGUGGAGAUAAUAUCACUGAUGGAGAUAUGUUAGAAAAAAUAUUCUCUACUUUUCAUGCCUCGAAUGUGCUCCUGCAGCAAUAUAGAGAACGAGGUUUAAAGAAAUAUUCUGAACUGAUUUCAUGUCUUCUUGUGGCUGAACAAAAUAAUGAGCUUUUAAUGAAAAAUCAUGAAUCGCGACCAACUGGUUCAAUCCCAUUCCCUGAAGCGAAUGUUACAAGAUAUGAUAAUAAUUAUGGUCGUGGUCAUGGUCGUGGUCGUAAUACAGGUCGUGGUCGUGGCCACGGGCAAAGGAGUUUUAAUUACCGCAACCAUGAUACCAAAUCUUCAAAGAAUGAGGAGAAACAAGAAAAGGGGAAGAAUAUAAAUAACAAAGAUACUAAGAAGGAAGAAAAUAUUUGUUAUCGGUGUGGAAUGAAAGGACAUUGGUCUCGUACCUGUCGUACAGCCAAACAUCUUGUUGAUUUAUAUCAGUCCUCAUUGAAAGGAAAUGAGAAGAACAUAGAAAUAAAAUUUUCUCAUCCACAUCAAGAUAACGAUGAUAUCUAUUUUGAUCCUAUGGAUAUGACACACCUUGACGUUUCAAAUUUAUUUACUAAUGAGCAAGUUAAUAUUCCUUAUAAUGAAACUAAUUAGUUCAUAAUUAUAUUAGUCCUUUUAAGUGUGUUUAUUUUAUGCUGAUGUAUUUUUUUUCAUGUUGGCUUAUUUAAUGUAUUUUGUUUUCUUUGAAUUGUGUUAUUAAAUAUAUAUAAUAUUAUGUCUUAUUAUGAACUUAUUAUAUAUUUAUUCCUUCUAUGAAGAAAAUAUGGAUAUGCGCCAUGUUAUACAUGAGCCUAAUAUCAAUGGUGGAGAUAUAUGCUUAGAAGAUAGUGCAACGACACAUAACAUUCUCAGACAUAAGCAAUAUUUUUCAAAUCUAAGAAUGAUGAAAGCAAAAGUGAAUAUAAUAUCAGGUUCAGCAGACUUGAUUGAAGGCUCUGGAAGAGCCAAUAUAAUGCUUCCUAGUGGAACAAAAUUUAUUAUUGAUAAUACUUUAUUUUUCACUAAAUCAAGGAGGAAUCUGCUAAGUUUUAAAGAUAUACAACUUAACGGGUACCAUAUUGAGACAGCCAAUGAAAAUGGUAUUGAAUAUCUUUACAUUAUAUCAAAUGUCUCAACUGGAAAACAAAUAUUAGAAAAAUUACCCGUUUUAUCUUCAGGUUUAUACUAUACAAGUAUUAGUACAAUUGAAGUUAAUGCAAUAAUGAACCAAAAGUUCAAUGAACCAAAUAAUUUUAUUAUUUGGCAUGACCGGUUGGGUCAUCCUAGAUCAAUAAUGAUGUGAAGAAUUAUUGAGAAUUCACAUGGUCAUCCAUUGAAGAACCAGAAGAUUCUUCAAUUGAAGGAAUUCUCAUGUGCUGCUUGUUCUCAAGGAAAAUUGAUCAUUAGACCAUCACCAGCUAAAAUUGGGACUGAAUCCCCAAAGUUUUUAGAACAUAUUCAAGGAGAUAUUUGUGGGCUUAUUCACCCACCAAGUGGACCAUUUAGAUAUUUUAUGGUUUUAAUAGAUGCAUCUACAAGAUGGUCACAUUUGUGCUUAUUAUCAACUCGCAACCUGGCGUUUGCGAGAUUACUUGCUCAAAUUAUUAGAUUAUGAGCACAAUUUCCAGAUCAUACAAUCAAGACUAUUCGUCUUGAUAAUGUUGGUGAAUUCACAUCCCAAACAUUUAAUGAUUAUUGUAUGUCUCUUGGGAUAAAUAAUGAACAUCUUGUUGUCCAUGUUCAUACUCAGAAUGGUCUUGCUGAAUCAUUUAUUAAACGCCUCCAGUUAAUUGCAAAACCAUUGCUCAUGAGAACAAAACUUUCUGUCUCUACUUGGGGGCACAUUAUUUUACAUGUAGCAGCACUUAUUCGCAUUAGGCCAACAUCAUAUCAUAAAUUCUCUCCAUUAUAAUUGGUUUUUGGUCAUGAGCCAGAUAUUUCCCAUCUAAGAAUAUUUGGUUAUGCGGCAUAUGUUCCAAUUUAUCCUCCACAACGCACAAAGAUGGGUCCUCAAAGGAGGCUGGGAAUAUAUAUUGGGUUUGAGUCCCCAUCAAUAAUUAAAUAUCUUGAACCCUUAACAGGUGAUUUAUUUACGGCACGAUUUUCCGAUUGUCAUUUUGAUGAGAUUAUGUUCCCAACAUUAGGGGGAGAAAUUAAACAGCUAGAUAAAGAUAUUACAUGGAAUGCAUUGUCAUUAUUGAAUUUUGAUCCUCGUACAAAACAAUGUGAACAAGAAGUUCAAAAGAUACUUCGUUUGCAAAAUAUAGCAAAUCAGCUACCAAAUGCAUUCACUGACUCAAAGGGAGUAACCAAAUCUCAUAUACCAGCUGUAUAUGCUCCAGCUCGGAUUGAAGUCCCAAUAGGACAAUCCGCAAAAAUUGUAGCAAAUGAGUUUAAGGCACGCCAGAAGCGUGGUAGACCAAUCGGUUCGAAAGACAAAAAUCCUCGAAAAAGAAAAUAAGUAAAUAAACAAGUUGGCAUUAUUGAGGAGGAAAAUAUUCAUGAGGAUAUAGACAUAACUACUCAUAAAACCCCAGAAGAGGUUCAGGUAACUGAAAACAAUAAAAAUGAUGAUAUCUCGAUAAGUUAUGUCUCUACAAAGAAAAGAUGGAACCGAAGUGAGAUAGUUGUUGACAACAGUUUUUCAUAUAAUAUAUCGCUUGAUAUAAUUAAUGAAAACGAGGAUUCUGAACCUAAUUCUGUCGAAGAAUGUAGACGCAGAAAUUAUUGGCCAAAAUGGAAAGAAGCAAUACAGGCAGAAUUAAAUUCACUUGCAAAACGUGAAGUUUUUGGACCUGUAGUCCAAACACCCGAAGAAGUAAAACCAGUUGGAUACAAAUGGGUCUUUGUGCGAAAAAGAAAUGAGAAAAAUGAAAUCGUAAUAUAUAAAGCACGACUUGUGGCACAAGGGUUUUCACAAAGAUCUGGCAUUGAUUACAAUGAAACAUAUUCUUCUGUGGUAGAUGCCAUUACAUUGCGGUAUCUUAUUAGCCUAGCAACUCAUGAAAAAUUAGAUAUGUGCCUAAUGGAUGUUCAUACAGCCUAUUUAUAUGGGUCAAUUGAUAAUGAUGUUUAUAUGAAAAUCCCUGAAGGAUUUAAAAUGCCUGAAGCAUAUAAUUCAAAUCCCCGGGAAGUUUACUCAAUCAAGUUGCAAAGGUCCCUAUAUGGGUUAAAGCAAUCAGGACGCAUGUUGUACAAUCGUCUUAGUGAAUAUUUAUUAAAAGAAGGGUAUAAUAAUAACCCUAUAUGCCCAUGUGUUUUUAUAAAGAAGUCGGAAUCCAGUUUUGUUAUCAUUGCUGUUUAUGUUGAUGAUUUAAAUAUUAUUGGAACUCAUGGAGAGAUUCCAAAGACAAUGAAUUAUUUAAAGAAAGAAUUUGAGAUGAAAGAUUUAGGAAAAACAAAAUUUUGUCUCGGCCUGCAGAUCGAGCAUUUAGAAGAUGGGAUUCUCAUUCACCAGUCAACUUACACAGAGAAGGCCCUUAAAAGAUUUUAUAUGGAUAAAGCUCAUCCAUUGAGUACCCCAAUGGUUGUUAGAUCACUUGAUGUGAAAAAGGACCCUUUUAGACCUCGUGAGGAUAAUAAAGAAUUACUUGGUCCUGAAGUACCAUAUCUUAAUGAAAUUGGUGCAUUAAUGUAUCUUGCUAAUAAUACACGACCUGAUAUAGCAUUCUCUAUGAAUUUGUUAGCAAGAUAUAGCUCUUCUCCUACCCAGAGACAUUGGAAUGGGGUUAAACAUAUUUUUCAUUACCUACGAGGAACUAUAGAUAUGGGGUUAUUUUAUUCAAAUAAUGAUAAUCAUAAAUUAGUUGGAUAUGCUGAUGCAGGAUAUCUAUCUGAUCCACAUAAAGGUCGAUCUUAAAUAUGUUAUCUUUUUAUGUGUGGUGAUACUGCUAUAUCAUGGAGAUCUACAAAGCAAACGUUAGUUGCCACUUCAUUUAAUCAUGCUGAAAUACUUGCAAUCCAUGAAGCAAGUCGAGAAUGUGUGUGGUUGAAAUCAAUGACUCAACAUAUUCGUGAAACAUGCGGUUUAUCCUCCAGCAGAGGAACUCCCACCAUUCUAUAUGAAGACAAUGCUGCAUGUAUAGCUCAAUUAAAAGGAGGAUACAUCAAAGGAGAUAUAACAAAGCACAUCUCAUCGAAAUUCUUUUUCACACACGACCUUGAUAAGUGUGGUGACGUUGAUAUUCAGCAAAUUCGCUCAAAAGAUAAUCUAGCAGAUUUGUUCACCAAAGCAUUACCAACUGCAACAUUUGAAGGAUUACGUCGCAAUAUUGGAAUGCGACAUCUGAAGAACUUAAGGAUACAUUCAUGAGGGGGAGCUAAUACGCGCUGCACUCUUUUUUCCUUAACCAGGUUUUUACCCAUUGGUUUUUUCCUGGUAAGGUUUUUAAUGAGGCAACUUUCAAUGCGUAUAGCCAUACAAUAGACAUCUAAGGGGGAGUGUUAUAAAAUGUCUAGAUUCAUAAUAUUAUGGAUGUCUAGAUACAUAUAACUCCCAUUGAGGUUUAAAAUGUAUGACUCUUGAGUUUGUAACUUCCUAGUAAUAUUGAUGUUCUUAUUUCUAUAAAUAAGACAAUUGUAAAGUGAUUGAGAGAUAUAAAAAUAUUAUGCAAAUACUCUCUUUUCUCUAAUCUUCUUUGUUCUUGUUCAUAAUAUUAAUCUUUUAUAAUACUUUUUUAUUUCCUGUAAAAUAAGAAUUAUUAGGAAAUAUGAGAGACAAAGGGAGAGUUGCAUGAAAUUCAAUAGUUCCCAAUAAGUGGUUCAUUUAAUUCAACUGUACUUCCUCUUGAAUUCUUGAACAAAGUGGUUAAAGCUGGGAGGAGAUUAGGAUCAGAAGUUGCAGAUUGGAACUGGGCAGAGAAGAAAAAGCGAGCUGCGGAGCAUUAAAGAGAUGGCGAAUUCCAAUAACAUGACUUCACUUAUUUCUCAAUUUUGUGGAGAAAAUUAUGAUUAUUGGAGAGACAAUAUGAUGUUAUUUCUCAAGUCAAUGGAUCUAUAUAUGGAAUAUUUUGCAUGAAGGAUAUGAGGAUACAGAAAACGAAGAUGCUUUUACACAAGCGCAGAAAAAUAAUUUGAAGGAAAAUCGAAAGAAGGACAACAAGGCGCGUUUCCAAAUUUAUCAAAAAAUUGAGAUGUCGGUGUAUGAAAGAGUUACUAAAGCUAAAAGUUCAAAGGAAGUCUGGGAGAUUAUUCAAGUUACAUACAAAGGUUUGGAAAAGGUAAAAAAGGUAUGCCUCCAAACCUUAAGAUCAAAAUUUGAAAAAUUAAAAAUGAAGGAGAAUAAAAGUAUUUUAGAUUAUUUUACAAGAGUUAAUUCAGUUGUAAAUCAAAUGGCAUCCAAUGGUGAAGUUUUAGAUGAUGAGAAGUUGCAAAAAUUCUUCGUAGUUUACCAUCAAAAUUUGAUUAUGUUGUGGUAGCUAUUGAAGAAUCAAAAGAUCUAUCAUCUCUUACUAUUCAAGAUUUGCAAGGGACCUUAAAGGCUCAUGAAGUAAGGAUAAAUCAAAGAAAUCCUUCUCCUCUUCCUGAUCAAGCUCUUAAAUCCCAAGUUUCAUUUACGGGAGGCUGUGGUUUUCACUAUGGUAGUGGUUGUGGUGGUAAUGGCAACUUCAGAGGUAAAGACUUUCAUUUUCAAGGCAGAGGAAGAGGUUAUAUAAACAAAAAUGAUUCACAUAAAGGUGGAGAAAAUCUGAUCAAAAACUUCCAAAGAGGAAGAGGUCGUGGUUAUCAAAGAGGUUGUGGCUAUCAAAGAGGAAGUGGCUAUCAAGGAGGAAAAGUUCGUGACUAUUUUGAAUGUUACCAUUAUCAUAGACCCGGUCAUACAUAUAAAGAAUGUCAUUUUAGAAUGGAGGGAACACAAAAUGAGACUGGAUUGAUGCAUGAAAACAAAACUGAUGAAAAAGAUGUGCAUUAUACUCUGUUACUGACAUGGUGUUUAGACAGUGGUGCAAGCAAAUAUAUGAUUAGAAACAAGAACUUAUUUUCAGACUUGGUUGAAUCUAACCAUGGACAGGUAAAAAUUGGAGAUGACAGAGCCUACAAAAUUCAAGGUGUUGAUGAAGUUAUUUUUCAAACAAAAUCUGGAAAAUUGGAGAAGAUGUCUGAAGUUUAUUAUGUUCCUAGUUUAAAAAAUAAGUUGCUUAUCACCGGUCACCUUUUGAAGAAGGGGUUUGAUAUUCAUUUUUAUGAUAAUGCUUGUUUUUUGUCGAAGAGAAAUCAGCUGAUAGCAACAAUUUGAUUAACUUCAAAUAAUCUUUUUCCUAUGAAACUUCAGGUUGCUAACAUUUCUUGUUUCACUACUAUUGAUAAAGGAAUUUCCAAGUUGUGGCAUGACAGGUAUGGUCAUUUAAAUUAUGACAACCUAAAAUUGCUAGCAGCAAAGAAGAUGGUUGAAGGAAUUCCUCAAAUUAAUCAAACAAAUCAGAUUUUUAAAGCAUGUCAACUUGGAAAACAACAUAGAGAACCGUUUCCUCAAAAAUCUUCGUGGAGAUCAAAAAGGCUGUUGGAAUUAGUUCAUUCAGAUUUAUGUGGACCAAUGCCGAUUACUUCUCAUGGAGGUAACAAAUAUUUUAUUACCUUUGUUGACAAUUUCUCAAAAAAAGUUUGGUUUUAUUUUCUCAAAGAAAAAACUGAAUCGUUUCAAGCUUUUAAGGAAUUCAAAGCUGAAGUUGAAAAUUUUUCUAGUUCUCAAAUUAAAACAAUAAGAACUGACAGAGGUCGUGAAUAUAUAUCUUCUAAUUGAGAAGUAUUACAAAAAUGAUGAAAUAAGGCAUGAAUUGAUAGUAAGGCGUACACCACAAUAAAAUGGUGUUAGUGAUAGAAAAAAUUGAACCAUCAUGGAAAUGGCAAGAUGCAUGCUGAAAAUGAAAAUGCUAGAUAAAGAGUUUUGGGCAGAAGUUGUAUCCUGUGUUGUUUAUUUGAUUAACAGGUCUCCUACAAAAAGUCUGAACAAUUGCACACCUCAUGAAGCAUGGUUUGGAUUAAAGCCAAAAGUUAGUCACCUAAGGACUUUUAGAUGUGUUGCUUAUGCACACAUUCCGGAUUCAUUGAGGAAUAAAUUGGAUGAUAAAGUAGAAAAAUGUAUUUUUAUCGGCUACAGUGAAACGAGAAAAGCUUACAAGUUGUACAAUCCAGUGACACAGAAGAUAGUGAUUAGUCGAGAUAUUCGAUUUGAUGAAAAUUCUUCAUUUAAUUCAAGAGUUAAUUUUCCUGAAAAUUUGCCAUGUUUUUGUGAUACUAAUGAUGAUUCUCAAGAUAAAAGUGAGCCUAUUUCUCCAAGAUACCCUUCUCGUGGAAACUCCCCCGAGUCCCCUCAAAGAACUCCUCAAAGAAGAACAAAGAGCUUAAGCGAAAUUUAUGAGUCAAUUGAGCAAAUUGAUUCGGAUGAUACUGUAUUUUUUGCUUUCUUUGCAGGAGAAGAUCCAAUUUCUUAUGAUGAAGCAUCAAAAGAAGAAAAGUGGAAACAAGCCAUUAAAGAAGAAAUGAAAGCCAUUGAGAAGAAUGAAACGUGGGAGCUUACAAAUCUGCUUCCGAACAAGAUUUCUAUAUUGGCGUAAAGUGGGUAUAUAAAACAAAAAUGAAUUCAGAUGGCUCCAUCAAUAAAAACAAGGCGAGACUGGUAGCAAAGUGGUAUAAGCAAAAGUAAGGAGAAGACUUCACUGAGGUAUUUGCUCCAGUUUCUAGACUUGACACUGUUCGUUUGCUUAUCUCACUUGCAGCUCAAAAUAAUUGGAGUAUAUUUCAAAUGGAUGUGAAAUCUGCGUUUUUGAAUGGUUUUUUGGAAGAAGAAGUUUAUAUUGAGCAACCACCUAGUUUUGUGAAGAAGGGAGAAGAAAACAAAGUUUACAAAUUGAAGUAGGCGUUUUAUGGGCUGAAACAAUCACCAAGGGAUUGGUAUAGCCGAAUCAAUUCAUAUUUUGAACAAAAUGGUUUUUGGAAAUACCCGUACGAGCCUACUCUCUACAUCAAAGGCACAUCACAAGAAAUCUUCAUGGUUGUAAGUCUUUAUGUUGAUGAUCACAUUUUUACAGGAAAUAAUUGAAAGUGUUGAAAGAUUUUAAAGCCUCCAUGAUGAAAGAAUUUGAAAUGAUAGACUUGGGAAAGUUAGAUCAUUUUCUUGGCAUUGAAGUUCAUCAAACCAAGAAAGGAAUUUUCAUUUCACAAGAAAGUUAUGCAAAAGAAAUUUUAAAAAAAAUUAGAAUGGAGAAUGCAAAUCCUGAAUCAACUCCAUGCAUCACAGGGUUAAAAUUAAGUAAAGAAGGUGAAGGCAAGCUUGUGAAUUCCACUUUGUUUUGAAGUUUGGUGGGAAAUUUGAUGUACUUGACUGGAACAAGACCAGAUAUCAUAUUUGUAGCAAGUUUAGCUAGUAGGUUCAUGGAGAAACCAUACUCUAAUCAUUAGGAGACUGCAAAAAGAAUUUUGCGAUAUGUCGAAGGAACCAUUGAUUAUGGUAUUUUCUUAUCAAGCUAGUAUUCUGAUUAAUCUUGUUCGAUAUACUGACAGUGACUUAGUAAGAAGUGUUGAUGAUAGUAAAAGCACUUCAGGCUAUGUUUUUAGUCUUGUAAGUGGCCCAAUUUCAUGGUGUUCGAAGAAACAAUCUGUUGUUGCUCUUUCUACAAUAGAAUCUGAACAUAUCACUGCUUCUUUAGCAGGAUGUCUAAUUGUUUGGCUCUAAGGAAUUUUGGAAUGUUUGAAGCAUACGCAGAUCUGUCCAACAACACUAUUUUGUGGCAAUAGUUCAACCAUUUCAGUAACAAAUGAUCCAGUACUUCAUGGAAGAACGAAACAUAUUCGUAUUCGAUUUCAUUUAGCAAAGAAGGCAUUAUUCAAGUGGAGUAUUGCAGGACGGAAGAUCAGUUAGCAGAUAUUUUCACAAAGCCUUUAAGCAGAAAAGCCUUCAAGAGAAAUGUUGGGAAGCUAAACCAAAUUCUUGUUUGUCUACAUUCAUAGAUUAAUUUGGUUCUUUGAAUAUCUCUAAACAAGUGUUAAAACAUUUAAUAUUUUAUUGGGUAUAUCAACGGUCAUUAGAAAUCUCUUGAGUUUUAUUCUUCUAAGCUAAGUAUUCUAGAAUGCUCUUGUAAUUCUAUAAAUACCAAUGGUUGUAAUCACUUUUAUGUUCAAGAGAGAAAUAGUAAGAACAAAAGUUCAGUUUAUAUAAAUCACUUUUCUCCUUCUUUGACACUACUCUAUAUAUAUAUAUAUAUAUAUAUAUAAGUCCUUAAUUAUGAUACAAACGAGAGUGGGAAAAUUUUAACGGCGGUGGAGGAUUCGAACCCCAUAUCAUUGUUAUACAAAGACUGGAUAAUACCAUCUUAGCUCAAAGAAUUAAAGAUGACAAAAAGCUGUCAAUUUCUUACAUUAUUUGACCUAUUCAUUUGAUUACAUAUUUUUUUCUUUCUUCUUCUUCAGUUACAUGUUUUGUUGAAUAUUCACGUGCCUUAACUAUUGGUAAAUUAUGGCUAAGCAAGCAUUUACAUUUUACUAACUAUAGUAUAAUGUUGGCUGUUAUUACAUAUCUGAUUCUUUGAUUAAUAUCUGCAGUCAAAAUUAGCCAAGUAAAUCAUAUAUGACUAAGUGUACAUUUAUAAUUUCUUUACAAUUUUGAUGACGAACUUAUAAUUUCCCAUAAUCCAAUUGUUAAGCUGUACGAAAAUUUAGUAUUUUAACAUAACUUAGAAGUUAAAAGAUUCGUGGUGUGAGAUAUUCAAAACUAAUGGUAUCUAAAUCUCUAAAUUGUCAGCACUCAUGACAUUGCAAUAGCUAUGUUGCGAGUUGGGCUUUUGCUUAUUUCAUUUCAUUUUUAUUAUCAUGAGAUUAUGUGUCUCACACUUCUUAUAAAAAAAAGAAAAUGAAUGUGCAAUAGCCAUGUUGCAAGUUGGGCUUUUGCUUAUUUCAUUUAAUUUUUAUUAUCAUCAGAUUAUGUGUCUCACACUUGUAGUAAUAGGAAAUCUUUUCUUUCCUUUUCUUUUGGUGCCCUUCACAGUAAUAGGCUUUUGAUUUAUGAGUUUCUCAUUAGUGUUAGUACACUUACAGAUACAAAGUAUUAUGGAAAUAUGAUUAUAGAUUAUGAAAUCAUAUAUUAGUUUCUGAACCACUACUAGUCUGCUAUUAUUCUAAAAAAAAUCAUUAAAACUAUGAUAUUUGGCACAUAGAAGUUUGGAACUUCUAGGAUCAUGAGGACAAUUAGAAAUUUGAAUAAUGUUCAUUUAUUGGUAUCAGACUUUGAUUAAUGUAAUCAUUCAUGCUUGUUCUGAUCUAGGUUGGUUAGUAUUAACAUAUCUGAGAUUUUUUUCCACUUAAUAUUGUUUUACAUAAUUACAUCCACAUGUAGCAUACUUGGCACAUUAAACUAGUUCAUAAGGACUGACUCAUAUGCUCAAAUUUUAAAGGUGUGCCUUUAUAUGCUUUUAUGUCUAACAUUCUCGAGUCUUCCAAUCAAGCAUGUACUGAGUUUUCAAACAAAAGAAAAGUAGUUUUUGAAAAUUUUUCCCCUAGUCCACAAAGAGCUUUAAUUAAAAAUUCUCAUAUUAUCUUUAAAGAUGAAGUCCAAACUAGUUGUUUUAAUGACUUCUCUAUAUUCCCAAUAUUAAAAGUGUUAAGUAAACCAAAUAUAUUCUAGAUUAUUCAAGAAAUAUCUUAAUUCAUAUUAGUACAUAAAUUGGUGAUAUCUAAGUACAUGAAUGUAUUUGAAGUGUCUUGGAACAUGUAAUGGUUAGGUUCAUGUACAUGAAUAUAGUCAUGUAGUAAUUAUUAAUGUGGCUCUAGAAGUGUCCUAUGAGUCCUAUAAAUAGCUUGUAAUUGAAUCAUUUUAAUCAAGUGAAAUCAAAGUGUUCUUAUAUUUUCCAAAGUUACAUUUCACUUCCUCCCUAAAAUAUAUUCACUUCCUAAUUAUCCAUCAAAGUGGUACCACAGCUAAGGUUAAUUCGAAGGUUUAGAGAAGGUUAAACCAAAGUGAAGUAAAGGUAGACGACCCAAGAGAGGUGACGUGUUGUCAUCGAAGUGUUCCGCUGGGCGAGUGCAACGUGUGCACGUUAAAGGUCCGGACUUCAACCUAGCAAAGGUGCUAGUUUAGAAGAAAUUUGAAAAAGAAGUUUGUGAGUUGAAGCACGUCACAAAGGUCGUCAUAUUGAUAGCAUUUUGGAGAGGUAAAUUAUAGAAAAAUGAUGUUUCCUAGGUUUGGUGCAAAAUUAGUGGUCACAAAUUACAAAGUUUGGAGUAUAAGGAUUUGAGUAUUUCUUUGAGUUCAAAGAAACAACCAAUUUUUGCUCUUUCAACAACUGAAGCUGAAUAUAUAGCAGCUGCACAUACUGGAUGUCAUCUAGUUUGGUUAGAAGAAAUUUUGAAGUAUCUCAAGCAAAAACAAGAAGCUGAUCCAACUUUGUUUUGUGAUAAUAAUUCAACAAUUUCAAUUACCAAAAAUCUAGUUCUUCAAGGAAAGACAAAGCAUAUUUGCAUUCGAUAUCAUUUCUUAAGGGAACUUGUGAAUGAUGGAAUUAUUAAUAUCAAGUAUUGUAAAUCUGAGGAGCAGCUACCUGACAUUUUUACAAAGCCGGUUUCUGAAGAAGUAUUCAAGAAACAAAUCGCUAAGCUCGGAGUGAAGAAUAAAUUUGGUUUACGGGAGAUCUUGUUAACUAAACCAAAUAUAUUCUAGGUUAUUCAAGAAAUAUCUUAAUUAAUAUUAGUACAUGAAUUGGUGAUAUCUAAAUACAUGAAUGUAUUUUUAAAUAUCUUGGAACAUGUAAUGGUUAGGUUCAUGUACAUGAAUAUAGUUAUGUAGUAAUUAUUAAUGUGGCUCUAGAAGUGUCCUAUGAGUCCUAUAAAUAGCUUGUACUUGAAUCUUUUUAAUCAAGUGAAAUCAAAGUGUUCUUAUAUUCUCCAAAGUUACAUUUCACUUACUCCCUAAAAUAUAUUCACUUCCUAAUUAUCUAUCAAAAAGAAGUUUUAAAUCUAUUGUAUGGGAAUGUCUCAUUGAACCUUCUAAGCCACUUGUGUACAUUGACUUGGUCAAACAGUUUUAAAUGAAUAUGCUUGUCGGAAUAAAUAAAACUAGGAAAAUAUUCUUUACAACUCUAAUUAAGUUAAAGUUUUUAUUUCUUGAUCAAUAGAAUGUGUGCAAGGAUUUGUCAUUAAAUACCAAAAUGAUCAUUCUUCCUUUUUAUUUUGUCUGACAUUGAAUUAGGUUCCUUUUAUGCAUAUUAUGUACUCUGCCUUUGCAUAUAUUAUUCUUCUUUGAGUGAACUGGAUCUUCUGGACUAUAUGUAACUAAAUUUGUGUUAAUUGUGACUCUGUCAUCCAUGAAUGCUUUUCGAUAAGUGGCAUCUUCAAUAUUUGAUGCCCAACAACAUGUGUUUUCUUUUAUGGGCGUAUUCAACAGCAUGCAAACAAUAGUGUUAACGCCUAAUUUUGUACGCCUGAUGAAAUCACCAAAACAUCAGGCCAAAAUCGCGCUAACGGUUGAUUGUAUUGUUGUGAAAUCAAACUCACAAAAUACAUUCACAUAAACAUAAACAAAAGAAGUAUAAAAUAUGAACACAAGAAUUUACGUGGAAACCCAAUUGAAAAAAAACCACGGAGAGAGAGAUAUCCACUAUAAUAAUAUGGAGAGUACAAGUUGUGUAUUUGUGUUGUAUCUCUUGUGUCCCUUUUCCCCCUCUGUCUUCUUCCUUAUUAUUGUAUUUAUUGAUGCCAUAUCCACUUGAAUCCAAUUAGGAGUAGGAGUUCUUUUUAGAAUCAUGACCUUAUAAUGGCUAAUAGAUUCAUUCCCAAAUUAAAUCUCCUUAUCCCACCAAACAAAAAAAAUACAAUCUUACUUUAAUAAGGACUCUCUCACUGUCAAAAUAAAUAUAUUAUGGGUCAACACCAAAUCUAGCCUAUUAAAUAAAUUGGAUUACACAUUUGCUAGACCCAAAUAAUCACACUCCAACAUUACCCCCCCAGUCUCUUAUUUAUAAGGAACUUAAAAUAAGAGAGUAUUCAAAAAGUCUCCGUGGGAUUUUUAUCCUCGGGAUUUUUAUCCGUAGAAUGUCCAUCUUUUCGGCAGAUCAAAGCCUUCUCGAAGGACGUUUGGUGCUAUUACUGCUUGGUUCGCCGCCGAACCACGUUUGGGCCAUUUUUAAUCCCAGCUAACUCGAAGAUUGGAAACCGUGCAUCAUGCAUAGCUGUCGGCUGCCACUUUUAUUGAAAAAUAAUUUCAUGGGCAUGUUGUGACGCCCCCAAAACAGGUAUACAACACCCAUUUUGAGUCGCCAAAUAUAUGGUACAGAAAGAAAACUACAACUUCAAUAAUACAAUUGUCGUGCAAAAUACGACAACACAUACUGUGAGUUUAAAUACAAAUAUUAUCUUCUAGACAAUAUCCACACCCAAAUAAGUCCUUAUUACAAUUAUUCAUACACUAUUUUUCAAAAAUAGUGAGGACUGCUAAAACAUCUUUCUAGAACCAUCACUCCAUAUCCCGACUCGAUCCUGCUAUGUUCUCACCUCCUAAGAAGAAAAAUAGAACAAAAAGGAAAAGGGUGAGCUCAACUAGCUUAGUAAAGAAUAUUAUCACUAAGAUAAUAUACAACAAAUUAUCAUUAGUCUUCAACAGGGAAAAUCUGAUAAAAUAUAAUAGACAAAAAGCUUUAGAUCAACAAAUGCAGCGAAAACAACAAUCCAUUAGAAGAGUCACGUAGAGAAUGAGUUCUACUAUCUUCUAAGAUUUAAAAGUCCAUCAUCAAUAUUUUAUCCCUGUAACAACAAUCAAUAUACAUCUUUAAUCAAAUAUUCAUCUUUGCACUACAAGCCAAAGAUAUUCAUUCGUAUCACCAGUUGGUCAUGUUCAUCUCAACACCUGUUCAUCUUUGCACUACGGGCCAAAGAUAUUCAUCAGUUAAUUAUUCAUCUUUGCACUACACGCCAAAGAUAUUCAGUAAUAUCAUCAUUUAGGACUGAGGAUGAUGAAAAAUAUUUUAAAGAAAACGAAUCCAAUGAGACAUAAGGACAAAUAUUAUGGAUUCGUAUAACAGUUUAUCCAAGAUCAAUAAUACUUCAAUACGAACCAAUUGUGAAGCAGAAUUCAAAAAUAAAGAUCAAAACAUGGAUACAAUCAAAGAUAGUAGCCAAAAUAGUCAUCUUGGACAAAAAGGAAAAUUUUCAUUUUUUGGUGAAUAGUGCCGUAUUCGUGAAUAGUGCCGUAUAUGUGAAUAGUAACCCCGACACAAAAAGUUCCAAAUUUGAUUAAAAGUUCAAACCAAUAUUUCGGCAUUCUGAUAUUGAAGAAAAUAAUAUCAUUUAAGAAGAAAAUAAUAUCCCUUACCUCAAAAUAACGGUACUUCUGAUCGGAAUAUCGGAUAGAAAGCCGAAGGAAAUUUGUACCGAACAGCAACUCUCAAAGUAUCAAAAUACUCACAAUAAUACGCUCGAUAAUCUAGAGAGAAAGAAAACUUAUUUCUGGUGUGAUUUUCAAUUCUAACCUAAGCGUCUAUUUAUAGAAAAAUGCUAGAACGCCAAAUGAGACUAAAAUAAUAAAAUAUAUUAUUUCUUUUUCUUCUUCCACGCCACUUCAAUUGUCAAGCCAGCCAUUUUGAAAAUCAAACAUGCCAUCUUGGAAAAAAUAGCAGCCCACAUGUGUUAAAACACAAGUGGGUCCCACCCCUUUUUAAAUAAAAAUCAUUUUAUUUUCCAAAACUUCAAAAAUUCAUAGAAAAUAGUCCGGUUAUCAGAAAAAUACGAAUUUUAUGUCCAUUUUGCCUGAAAUCGAAUUCUCUACAACUUUGUAACUUUGAGUUUUUCUAAAUUCCAAACCAAAAAUAUCUAAAAUCCAUAAACGGAUGAUUUUUAAUACUUCUAGACCGACAAAAUACUGAUAAAACACCUCAACAUUAAUUCCUUCAAUUAUAUCCACAUAAAAUAUAAAUUGAUAAUUAAUUAUAUACAAAUAAUAUUACAGAAUCACAAUUAUGACAACCAGGCCGUUCCCAAGAAAGAUGACCAAACCAAUAAGGAUUUCUCCUUACUGACGCGCAAUUAGAUGACCAAACCUCUCCUUGACAGAACUUUCUAGACAUUGCCAAUAAUGUUAUCUAAUAAUAUUAUUCAAAUAAUAUGAAUUAUUGAUUUGAUAAUGGAAAAUAUUGUGCAGUGACAAUUAUUGAAACAAUAAUAAUAUAAACUAACAACGCAACAAUUAUUGAAUCAAUAACAUAAAAUAUAGAACAGUAAUUACUGUAACAAUUAUUGAGUAGUGCCUUCUUACGUAUGAAUCAAUAAUUCAAUAAUAAUGUGCAAUUCCGUGUGCUACUAUGCAACUACGCGUAUUACUGUAUUUUAACCACCAGGUAAUCCAACAGUGUUAACGGUAACAAUUACGCCGUUAAUUAUAAAAACUCAUACUUUGUCAUUUUCCUUCAUCCAACCGAUUUCCGUUAUGGGGCCCAUAAAUGACUGCGCCGUCGUACGGAGAUUUUCGACAAAAAGAAUAUUCCACGACCAAACGAAUAUUCCCCGACAAAAGGAAUAUUUUAUAACCACUUGCUUAUUUUGUAAAAUUUGUACAUUUCACCCAUAACCAAAGCAUUAUAUCAAAUUAACACCUUAUUAAUUUAGAAUAAUGAAUAGAGGAAAAUUUUAAUUUUAUUUAUAAUAAGUUGGGGUCUUAUACAUGUCCCUGUUUAAUGUGCCGAAUAGUUUCUGAAUCAGACGGAACCACAUGGUCAAAUCCCUCGCAGAUGAGCACGUUGACACAUGUAUAAGAAUUGAAUCUUUUAAUUUCCUUCAGUUUGUGGUUGAUGAUGAAAUUGAAGCCGCCUUUAAAGUAAUUCAUUGAUAUAAAAGCUUAAACUUUUAUCUCUGCGCUGGCUGAAUUCGUUACUAGUGCGGUGACUCGGCACCAAUUUAUCAUCACCUGGACCAAAGUGUUAAUGUUUAGAUUUUAUAUGCAUCAUGUGAAUACUACCACUACAUGCAUAAUAUAAGAGAGAGAAUAUGUAAAGUUGUAUCAAUAAUCAAUUACGAUCAUGCUUCAAUUGCUAUUGGCAUAAUGCAUAUAUAUACACGUACAAGUAUAUAUUUAAUUUAAUAAAAAAGAAUCACUUAUCUCCUUCGGUGAAUCGGAAAUUUUAAAUAGACACUAGAACAAGUGUCUUGUUUCCCACAGACGGCGCCAAUGUUAAUGCCAAAUUUUGUACGCCUAACGAAAUCACCAAAACAGCAGGCCAAAAUUGCGCUAACGGUUGAUUGUAUUGUUGUGAAAUCAAACUCACGAAAUACAUUCACAUAAACAUAAAUAAAGAGAUAUAAAUAUAUGAACACAAGAAUUUACGUGGAAACCCAAUUGGGGAAAAACCACUAAGAGAGAGAUAUCCACUAUAAUAAUAUGGAGAUUACAAGUUGUGUAUUUGUAUCAUAUGUUCUUGUCCCUUGUGUUCUUCCUCAAUCCCUUGCUUAUUGUUAUAUUUAAAGAUGUCAUAUCCACCUGAAUCCAAUUAGGAGUAGAAGUCCUUUUUAGAAUCACCUUAUAACUGCUGAAUCCAAUUAGGAGUAGGAGUCCUAAUUAAACAUCCUUAUCCCACCAAAUAAGGAAACACAAUCUUUCUUUAAUAAGGACUCUCUGUCAAAAUAAAUAUAUAUUAUGGGUCAACACCAAAUCUAGCCCAUUAAAUAAAUUGGGUUACACCUUGGCUAGACCCAAAUAAUCACACUCCAAUAGAAGGGAAAUUUAUUCUUGAGAGGUAUCCAAAUUUUAGUAAUUUUUCGGAUUCUUUCCAAGUUAUUGUAGCAUUUUAACUUGUGGAUCCUUUGUUUAAGCAGGUUCAAGGUAUUCGGUCCUAAUAGAAGCAACUAUUUAGAGAUUUAGGAAGGUCACCCAGAUGGAAGUGAUGUUGAUGAAUGAUGAUGCUUGAUUAGUGUCUUUGAUUUUAGGUUUAACAAAUUAGUUUAAAAAUUGAUCUAUUGAAAUUAGUUGUACAUCCUUAGAAAUUUCUUGUUCUUGUCCUGUCAUGGUAUUUAUUAUCUUGUUUAGUAUAGUUGCAAUUACAGACCCAGUUUUAGAACGCGUCACUGAUAAAUACAGGACAAUGUCAAUUUAAUGGUUUAUAAUAGUACUCAUUGACAGAUGUCUUAUCUAGUACUGUCAAUAUAUAAUAUUUUAGUAAUUAUCAUUAUUAUUUUGAACUUAUUUAUUUCUAGAUUUCGAAAUUAAAUUAUGAAAAUAUUUAUAAUUUGUUAUUAAUACAGAUUGAGAUGGCUUAUUUCUAUCUUAAAGAAUGUGAUAUUGGUGUCAAAGUUGACAUAAAUUUUGAGACGACUAUUGUCCGUCUCAAAUUGUGACGCCCAAAAUGUCAAGAAGAUGAGUUGUUGCCAAUUUUUAGACAGAUUUGAUACGGUCUUUUUUGUCUCAAAUUAUGUGUACUAAAAAAGAGCGCCAAUUUUUCCCGCCAAAUUAGAAACCGACAAAAUCGGUUUCAAAAUUUAGCUCCCCAUGAGUAAGUUUUGAGAUGGAUUUGGGACAUAUAGUUUCUAUAUCUAAUAUUUUGAGACGGAUUUGAGAUGCAUAUUUUCUGUAUCUAGGAUUUGAGAUGAAUUUUUUCAUCUCAGAUGCCCAAAUUUUUGGUAGUCUCCUCAUCUUCACACGUUGAGGGAUCUAGGUCGGUAUCGUACUGGCCGCUAACAACUCUCUGAGUAGACUUAUCCCUAAUAAGUCGAGAAAACCUAUUCUAAAAUAAAAACAUACACUACAAGAAAAAGCUUUAUCAGCGACUGCAUAUCAGUGACCGCAGACGGUCACAGAUAGCCAUCAGCGACUGCAUGCGGUCGCUGAUAGUCGUCGCACAAAAUCUGGUCGCUGGGAUGCACAUCAGCAACCAAUAUUAGCGACCGACAUAUCUGCGACCGAUAUGAGUGACCGAAAUGAAUAAUCUGGUCGCUAAGCUGAGUCAGCAUGGUCCAGGGCCAAAGCUGACGUGGUCUACGUGUCAGCGACCGGCUGCGGUCGUUGAUAGCCUCAAAUAUUUAGCCGUCGUUAAUAACGGUCAGCGAUGGCAUGUGGUCGCUGAUAUGAAAAAAAAAUAAAUAACAGAUUUUUGCUGUUUUGCAGAAUUCCCAAACACCUGUACCUGUUUUGUACCUGCUUUAUCCCAACACACAUACACAACAAGAUAAACAUCAUACACAACAAUAUAAACAUCCAUUGUCCACCAACACAUACACCAAACAAGUUUUAAAACUAGUUUAAGUAACAUAACUGAAUAUACAAGUUAUGAACAUACACAUGCAAUAAUAAUAUUUCAAAACUUGUUUAAGUAAUAUACAUACAUCCAAAGAAUGAAUAUACAAGUACAAGUUAUACUAUAACUACAAAACUGAUAUAAAGCAGGUACGUCAAGCAUCAUCGCCUCCUUGAUCACCCUGUAAUUAAAAAAAUAAUAAAACAAGUUACAAAUAUAUACUAACUAUGUUAAUAUUGGUAUAUUACGACAAUAUAUACAAAAAAUUGAUUUUAUACCUCGUCGCCAUCCCCAUGUUGUGAUGAUGUUGCUGCCGCCACUGCUUUAGCUAACUCCUCAGGAUCCAGAGCCCCCAGAUGCCCGCCUAGUAUCGUCAGAAGAUCUCGAUCUCGACAUAUAGCUCUCACACAGUCAGCCGGAGUAUGAACAGCUGGAUGGCUCGAUGACUGUGUAGACUGGGUAGAAGAGCAGCCUGAGCCACUGAAGGAUGGGCGUCGUCGUUGUCCUUGACCUUUAAUGUAAUUCUUCUUCACAACAGACGCCCUCUCCCACAACUCUUGAUCAAUAGGCGGACGUGGAGUGCCUUCAGGAUAGCGCUCAUUCAAUAAAUGCUUAUAAGUGUCCUGUCAUCAUGUUAACAAUUAAAUAGUUAAAAAUAAAUUAAUUCUGUAAGCAUUGAUAAACAAGAUCAAGUUGUUAAAAUUUAUUACCGCUAUCUGGAUAGCCUCAGGCAGACCAUCACGGGUGGCCACGUACACAUCCAGCCAAUGGAUAGGCUGACCUUGAGACUGAGACUCCUAUACAAAAAAUAGCAUAAUAUUACUAAGUAAAAAUGUGAUAUAUUUUCUACAAUUCAUGAUUGUAAACAUAUUAAAACUUGUAAUUAAAUACGUACCCUGGCAGUGAUAUGCUGCAACUGUGAAAUACUACCGCCCUUGUAUGUCCCUUUAGCCUUUUCGCCAUUGGGUACACCCGAGGAUCUGUUGUUUGCGGCAGUCUUUCGUCUUUUCACCCACCUCUCAGCUCUCCACUGGGCACACAUCUCGGCCCAUAUGGCCUGGGUUCACCACCAGGGACUAUGCUCAUGCAUGUAAUCUUCUCCCUGGCCUGGAUGGUCGAUCUCGGCAUUGUGAAGGGCUUUUUGUCUUUCUUUAUUCAAAUUGUCUUUGGUGCGGACCGCUCACUUCUGCCAGAAUAAUGUCUGUAUCACUGAAGCCUGCGCGUUCUCCCAUCUAUACCGUUUCUGCAAAUAAAACAACAAUAAUAACAUUACUAAAUAAUUACCCUUUGAAUAUUAUAUUAAUAUUAUCUGUCAUAAUUAAAAAAAACAUACCUGAAAUUCUGCCCAAAUAGCAUCCUUGUGGGCGAUAGGUGUGCUCGCCCACAUAAUCACAGGUGUAGGCCAAUUCUGUAAACACAGUUGUGAUAUGCACUUGACGAUCUUAUUAUCUGAAGAAUCACUAUAAUAUACAACAUCAAUUAACAUAUAUUAAAGAAAUUUACAUCUAAGUUAUAAUACUUAUGAACAUUUUUCAAACUUAUACGUAUAAUACUUAAAAAAAAUUCGCCAGAGUCUCCCCUACAAUAUAGACUAGCCACAUGCACGACGGAAUGCAUAUAUGGACAUUUCUAGGCACCCAAGACACAAACCAAGAGAAAUAUACAGAUUUUCAAUACAAUAAGACCAAAACAAUAACGAUUGAAUGCAAAUUAACGCAGUAAAAAAUUCAGACCCAUAUACAUUACAUAUAUAAUAUCAAUCAAAACAUUACCAAUAUACAAUAAAUGGAAUCUUAAAUGCUUAUAUAUAAAUGAUAUAUACGGGAUGUACGUGCUAUUCGAAGGAGGGCGAAUCUGAAUAAGAAUCCGAUCAUGAUUAGUAGGGGCCUUGGGCACAUGAUUAGGCCCCCUACCCAAGCCGCGCUUUUUCUGGGCUGCUUCAGAAGCCAUCUGUAUAUUACAAAUUUCAAGAUGUUAUUAUGAGUCAUGUUUGAUUACAUGUAUAUAUGACAAUAAACAUGACAAUGAUAUAAGCAUGUAUAUAUAUGAAUAUAAAAUGACAAUAAACAAAAGUUGCAUUUAAAUAGUUCAGUACAUAAACAUGACAGUGAUAUAAACAUGUAUAUAUAUGAAUAUAAAAUGACAAUAAACAAAAAUUGUAUUUAAAUAGUUUAGUACAUAAACAUGACAAUGAUAUAAAAAACAUGUAAUGCUAAACAUACAUUUCAUUUGUUCAAGUGUCAAUGUCUGAUUCAGAAUCAUCUUGUAUACGUGUUGCAGAUUCAUAACCAUCAUCUGCUUCAGAUUCAGUGUCAGAUUCAGUCAAUAACUCUUCCUCCAUAGUAUCAAUGUCAUCUGACACAAGUAUUGACUCAGGAUCUAAUUCAUUUGGUUCAUCUCCACCAUCUAACUGGAUUACUUAAUUGUCGUCCUCCACAUUUAUUAUAGUUUGACUAUGAAGCAUCUGCUCUUGGUAAAUCUCCCCAUCAACUACUUCUACACGACUACGCGCGGGAGUAUGAAUUACAACUUGCCAAUCUGUAGGCGGUCUAUCCCUUUUCCUAACAGGACUAGGAGUGUAGUAUACUUGUACUGUUUGAGUUGGUAAAACAAACGGUUCGUUGGAGUACGCAGACCUAUGGAGGUCAAUAUCGACGAUUCCAUGUCUGUCAACACGUAUCCCUUUUUCUGAAUCAAACCAACGGCACUUGAACAAGUGAAUAUGACCCCCGUACGUGCCCUUGUACGACAACUCUACGAUUUCCUCCAACUCCCCAUAAAAGGCACGACCAAGCUCAUUGUAACAAUCUCCUUGGACACACACUCCAGAGUUCGUUGUUCUUUUACCGCGCCCAUAUGCCUUUGUGUGAAAUUCACAACCAUUUAUUUUGUAACCAUUGCGGCUGACUUGGUCCCUGUCUGGUCCCAUAGCUAGGACUUGUACAUUAGCCGGAAUCGUUGAUCCCUCAGUCAAAGCCUACAAAAACUCCAUCUUAUUAAAUGAAGUCAUAGUUAACAUGGAGUAUAUAUAUAUAUAUAUAUAUAUAUAUAUAUAUACUACGUGCUUAAAAAUUGAACUUACUUUGUCCUUUAGCCAAAGUGCAAAGUUUUUAUCCCGAUUGAUUUGAAUAUCUUUAUCAGUUAUGCCGGGAUGCUUCACUUUUAACUCGUCAUCAUACAAUCUAUACCAUGUUAUAAACAAUAAUAUAUUGGAAUAAAUUUUCAACUUAAAAGAUAAAUUAUCAAGUUUACACGUGUACUUCACAAAUUCGUCAAUCUCCUCGCAAUUGAGAAGAAUGUAAGUAUGUGCAGCAUGUAAUUCUUGCUCAGAAAGGAUAUGCGCUUCCCUUUUCCAUAAGUGCGGCCCGAUAGACCAAAUACAGAGAGCCGACCAUUUAGUUCAGCAUUUCCCCCAUCAUCAUGUCUCAAUACUCGAUUGGCCUUUGUCAAGACUUCGUCCGGAAAAUAGUCUGAGACAAACGUAGAUAUCUCAUCGAAACUGUAUGCCUCACAAAUCGACCCCUUGACAUAAGCUCUAUUCUUCACCUUCCUCUUAAGGUUUCCCAUCACCCUCUCGAAAGGGUACAUCCAUCUAUAUUAAACUGGACCCCCAACAUGAGCUUCAUAGGGAAGAUGGAUUUGUAAAUGCUCCAUAGAGUCAAAAAAACCGGGUGGGAAUAUUUUUUCCAGUUUACACGUGAUCUCUAUGAUGUUCUUCUCAAGUACAGACAUGUCCUUCUCAGUUAAUGAUUUUGAACAUAAGUCUUUAAAGAAAUGACUAAGAUCCGUCAAAGCAUCCCAUAUUGGUUUAUCAAGCAGAUCCCGAAAUGCUAUAGGCAUGAGUCUCUCCAUGAACACAUGACAGUCAUGACUGUUCAUCCCUUGCAAUUUCCCACCCGUAACACACCUUGCAGUAUUUGACGCAUAUCCAUCUGGUAGUUUCAGAGACUUAACCUAUGUGCACACAUCUUCAACUUGCUUUUUGGACAAUGUGUACCUUGCAUACUGCUUGACAAUCUUACCAUUAGGAGAUUCAUAAAGUUCUAAUCCACGACGCUUACAAAUAUAUUUCAUGUCCAAACGUGCCUUAUCGUUAUCUUUUGUCUUCCCCGUAACAUUCAUAAUGGUGUUAAACAUAUUGUCAAACACAUUCUUCUCAAUAUGCAUCACAUCAAGAUUAUGACGAAUCAAAUUUGUAGACCAAUAAGGCAAUUCCCAAAAGAUGCUUCUCUGAACCCAGUUAUGAGAUUCGCUAAACCAUUGAUUAUGUUUGUGGCAUCAAUCUUACCAAAUGGGAUAACUGGAAAUCUCAUCACACGAUCUCGCAUCUCCGUUUUCGAUAAUCGCGGUGCAGGCAUAUCAUUGUCUACUUUCCCUUUCCUGAAGUGUUCUCUAUUUCUUCGAAACGGGUGAUCUACCGGAAAGAACCGACGAUGACAGUCAAACUAGUAAGGCUUUCAACCUUUUGAUAGAUUAAAUGACUUUAUAUGCUCCAUACAAUUCGGACAAGCCAACUUCCCGUGUGUACUCCAUCCAGCUAACAUACCGUAAGCUGGCAAGUCACUUAUAGUCCACAUAACCGUUGCCCUAAGGUUGAAAUUUGUUUUCGUUGUAACAUCCCAAGUCUGUAAUCCAUCCUCCCACAAUACCUUCAACUCGUCUAUAAGAGGUCUCAAGUAAACAUCUUAGUUCUUUCCAAGGCUCUUAGGACCAGAAACCACGAGUGAAAGAAAUAAGUAUGGUUGUUUCAUACACAUCCAAGGAGGCAAGUUGUACGGAGUAACAAUCACAGGCCAACAUGAGUAUGGAAUCCAGGAUGUGCUAAGUUGAAAUCUUUCCAAGCCUGCCCAUCUGCGGGAUGAUUUAGUUCUCCAUCUUUAGCUGGAGAAUUCGCAUGCCAACUCAUAUGUUCAGCUGUUCUUGAAGGCAUGUACAAUCUUUUUAGCCGAUGUGUUAUUGGAAAAUACCUUAGAAUCUUAAACGGUAUACUUGAUUUUUUUGUAGUCACACCCUCUUUAUUAGGCCUAAACUGAUUAUGACUGCAAAACGUCCACCUUGUCAUCUGUUCAUUUUCCUUAUAAAACAACAUGCAAUUGUUGGGACAUGCAUCGAUCUUUUGGUAUCCAAGUCCCAACUUCUUCCCCAUUUUCUUACAAAAGUAAUAGUUACCAGGUAAUUUCUCACCGUCAGGCAACAUACUCUUAAUGGCCUUCAAGAGCGACUCAAAACACUCAUGGCUCAUGUUGUGAUUAGCCUUGAUGUUAAGUAAUGUCGCCACUGCAGACAAUGUAGUGUGUUUGGUGCAACCAUGCCACAAUGGCUCGCUACCCUCGUCUAACAACUUAAAGAAGUCUUUGGCAUCAGAAUUCAUAGGUUGCUCUCUGCCUUGCUCCCAAUCAAAAUCUGGCCCUGCAAUAUCAUGAACCAUUUCAUUCAUACGAUGAGUACUACUGCCUGAAUUGUGUACUUGUGUGAUGCCACCAUCUCUUCUCUGCCCAUGUGCCCACCAGCAUUCUUCGUAAUUUCUCAUGAACCCAGAAACAAGUAAAUGAUAGUUUACCAUGUCUCUGUCCAUAUAAUUUACAUUCUUACACUUCAAACAUGGACAUCGUAUCUGCGACUUACCAUUCAUACAUUCCGGGUGACUAUACGCAUACUCCAAAAACACUUGGCAACCAGCUCUAAAUUCAGCUGUAGCACCUAUCUGGGCACUUGACUUUCGUCGUGCCAUCCAACUACGGUCUGAAUAGAGGUCCAUGAUUCCACGGUACCUACUACAGACAACAUGUGACGCCCCCAAAAUAGGUAUACAUCCCCUAUUCUGAGUCGCCAAAUACAUGGUACAGAAUACAAAUACAAUCUUUAAUAUACAACAAGAGAGCUGUAAGUUUUAAUACAAAUAUUGUCUUCAAGACAAUUUCCACUCUCAGAAUAAGUCCUCAUUACAUUUAAUGUCACACUAUUUAACAGAACAGUGAGGACUACUAAUACUAUUAUCUGGUCCAUCACUUUGUUCCCUGACUCGUCCCAGCUAUAUUCUUAUUUCCUGAAGAGAACAAUGAAAGAAAUGGUGAGCUCAACUAGCCCAAUAAGAAAUAUUAUGACUAAGAUAAUGCAGAAUAAAUUAUCAUUAGUCUACAAUAAUGUUAAACUGAUAAAAUACAAUAGACAUCAAGUUUAGCUGCAGCGAAACAAGCAAUCCAUUAAAAGAGUUAAGUAGAGAAUAAAAUCUACUAUCUUUUAUGAUUUAAAAGGUUUUUCAUCACUUUUAUCGCUGAGACUCAGCUUAAUAAAUAAUCCACAUCAUUGAAUCACCCCUGCACUACGGCCAAUGAUAUUCUUUAGUAUCACGACCACAAAUUAUCUAUGCACUACGGGCCAAUGACAUUCGUGUAUUCAUCAAUGGUCAUGAUCAUGCCAACAAUUGUCCAUCAAUGCACUACGACCAAUGAGGACUUUUACCACAUCAUUUGUAAGAUUACGGUCAUGAUUACACCAAAUAAUCCAUGGUCAUAAUCAUACCAAGUCCAUCUAUGCACUACAAGCCACAUAUGACUUUCAAAAAAAAAUAUAAACAUGAGGAUGAUGACAAUGAUAUAAGAAUUUAAUAAAAAAAGUUCACGAAUUAAUUUAUUCAGGAACUAAUAACGUCCAAAUUGUCAACAUGAUACUUCUUUGUAGAGUAAAAUUCAAGAAUGCUCAGAAGAAUAUUUUCAUGAAAAGAUACUGGAUGAAGCACAAAUAUCAAGGAUAUUCCACUAAUUUCAUGGAGUAUAGAAGUCAAAACUUUAACCAACUGAGUAUAAUAAAGAAUGGAAUAACAAAAGAAAUCACCAUGCAUGCAGUACUUCGCAUAGACAGGUUAUUACAACUGAAUAACAAAUAACGGAACCAGAUCAGGCGUAAUACGCACCGACAGGAUAUUCCAGCAGAAUAAUAAAGAAUGGAAUAACAACAGAAAUCACCAUGCAUGCGGUACUUCGCAUAGACAUGUUAUUCCAUCAGAAUAAUAAAUAACGGAAUCAUGUCCAGCGUAAAAUGCACAGACAGGAUAUUCCAACAGAAUAAUGAAGACGGAACCAGGUCCGGCGUAAAACGCACAGACAGGAUAUUCCAACAGAAUAAUAAAGACGGAACCAGGUCCGGCGUAAAAUGCAUAGACAAGAUAUUCCAAUAGAAUAAUAAAGACAGAACCAGGUCCGGCGUAAAACGCACAAACAAGAUAUUCUAACAGAAUAAUAAAGAAUGAAAUAACAUAAGAAUUUCACCAAGUAUAGGGUAGCCCGCGUAUACAGGUUAUUCCAAUAGAAUAAUAAAGAAUGUAAUAACAGAAGUUCUCUUCAUGAAGAGGAAAGAAAGAAAUAAUACCCCUUACCUUAGAAAGAAACUGGAUACUAGAGUAGAGAGGUAACAGACUUCUAUUCUUCUUUCUGUCUAAAAUUUCUCUCUAUAAUAACUGCUCUAUAGCUUGAGUGAAUUGGUGAAGAGUGAUGAAGAAUGAGCUUCUAUUUAUAGAAAAAUAUAGUUUCAAUAAUUGCAUGUUUUGGGGCUCAAAAAAUUACAGUACAAUACCUCCAACUUUUCCUUUAUUUUUAAUUUAGUCAUGCAAGUAUUAUCAAACUUGCACCACCUCCCCUAAUAGUAAAUAAUGUGAUUCAAUAGUAAAUUAUGUGACUCAAUAGUUCUAGACAUGUGAAAAUACGAAUUACAGUAUAGUACAUCCAUCUAUACCUCCAUUUUUAAUUUAGUCAUGCAAGUACUAUCAAUCUUGCACCAACUCCCCUAAUAGUAACAAAAAUGUGAAACAAUUGUAUACAUAUGUGAACAAAUAGUUAUAAUCAUGUGAAAUAAUAGCAGUUAAUUGCUCAUUUAUCCGGUUAAAUACCCGAUUGGUCAAUAUAACCUCCAGACAUCAAUUAUUAUCGAAAUAAAUGUCGAUUUUCACUGACACAAAUAAUUCCAACACAAGAAACUAUUUUUAUCAAAAAUAUAAAUUUUGAAAUUUUGAAGUUUGACUUUUCCUGAAAAAGUCAACUAUUGACUUUUUGACCAAAUAGUAAAACCCGAAAUUUUUUGUGUUUAGUCUAUUUUUACUAAUUUUAUCAUUCCGGACUCAAAUAUCACGUCCGUGUCUCCAAAUUCAACACCGAGCACAACUUCAAUUUUAAUAACAUUCAUCAAUAAUAUUAUAACUCACAAUAUUUAUGAACCAGGUCGUUCCCAGGAAAGAGGGGGCUUUCCGAUAAGGAUUUCUCCCUAUUGGCGCGCAAUUAGAUUAUCUAACCUCUCGUUGACAGAACUUCUAGACAUUGUAAAUAUUGCAAUUUAUAAUAUGAAUAACUUUGUCGUCUCAAUUAUUGAUUUAAUAAAAUAACAUUUUAUGCAGAUGAUACUGUGACAAUAAUUGAAUCAAUAAUAUGAGAGAUAUGAUGCAGCAAUUACUGUAGCAAUAAUUGAGUAUAACUGAGUGACUUCUCACGUAAGCAUCAAUAAUCAAUACCGUGUGCUACUAUGCAACCACGCGUAUUACUGUAUUUUUACUACCGAGUAGUUCAACAGUAUUAACGGUAAAACUUUCGCCGUUAUUUUCAUAAAAAAUAUUUGUCGUUUUCUCAAUCCGACAAUAAUUUCGUUGUGGGGUCCACCAAUGAUUGUGUCAUCGUACGAAUAUUCCCUGUUAAAAUGAAUAUUCCCCGACCAAUUGAAUAUUAUAUAACAACUUGCAUACUUUGCAAAAUUUAUAAAUACUACCCACAACUAUAACAUUAUAUCAAAUCCACACCAUAAUAUUCAAAAAAUUAUUUCGAGAAAAUUAAAUAUUUAUUCAUAAAAUCUGGGGUCUCACAAUCUCCCCUCCUUUUGGAAUUUCGCCCUCAAAAUUUACGUACGUACCUGGUAUGCUGAAGAGGUGAGGGUACGUUAACUUCAUUUUAGAUUCUAACUCUUGAGGUAUAACCUUUGAGUGUCGAAUAUAAUCCUUCUUAUCCAAGAUUUUAACACGUAUCUCCUCAUACGUUAAAUCAUCUGCUAUCUCGUCCAGUUCUAAAUUAAUAAUGUGGUUCGGGUCAUCCACAUAUUUACAUAACAUCGAUAUGUUAAAAAUAUUAUGAACACGCGACAUACUUGGCGAAAAACCAAUCUAUAAGUCACAGUUCCUACUCAAUUGAGGAUUUCAAAUGGGCCAAUAAAAUCGAGGGUUGAGAUUUCCUCUCUUCGUCGAUUAUUUCUUCUAGAAUAACGCUCUCUUGAACCUUCUUCUUCACAUUCAUCAGAUUCGGGUGUGUAGCUUGAGCGGCUUUAACUUUAUCGAUUAAAGUCAAUUCUACUCGUACAUUCGCUAUCUUCACGUGGGUCCCUAUAGUCUUAACUCUAUCUUCAUCAUUUGUAAGGUAUACGAAAUGGGUCUUUGUGUUAACAACAUCGCACUUGUAAACGCAUAUGACCUUCUACUCAACGCGUCAGCUACCAUGUUCGCUCUUCCAUGAUGAUAUUGAAUGGUAUGAUCGUAAUCUUCAACAGCUCGAGCCAACGUCUUUGGUGCAUAAUACGUUCAUUUUGGGUGAAGAAAUAUUUAAGGGUUGAAGAAAUGAGUUUUGUACUGUGGUCAAUACAAAAUUUGAUUUCACGUUCUGGGGUAGGCUAAGAAGUCUUCAAGAAUACGUCAGGAAAUUUGUUAACAAUAGAAAUAUCAUUCAAAAUUGUGACUCUCAUCCAAGACUUGGAUAACACGUUGCAUUGAUACCUAUCAACUUGCCAUCAUCAUUCACGACGUCGCCUACAGAAAGUUUGGCUUCGGUGCAUUCCACACAAGGAAGUCAACAACGAAAGGAUCGGGGCUCUUUACUUAUGGCUUGAUAUGACAAUGAUUGACUUUAGUGGUUUGGUUGCUUGAAUUCGUAUAACAGGUUGGUUAGGAAUAUAAAAGCUAACAACCUUACGAAAAGCAUGAUGAGUAGUUAACCAAUCGAUUCCUAAAAUCACAUCAAAGGCAAGUAUUUUCAAAGAGAUAAGAUCAACAUGCAACGUGAAAGUGUCGAUUUGAAUCAAACAAGAUUUAUAAACAGUGGAGGUAACGAAGGCUCCUACUAACGAAGUUUGAACCAAUAAGUCAAAGUCUAACUUCUUCGGAGUCAAAUUUAAAUAUUGAACGCAAGCAAGAGAGAUAAAAUAAUGGGUAGAACUGGUAUCUUAUAAGGUAUAGACUUCGCAAGAAUUUAUAAUUAACUAACUCGUGCUAACUUCGUUCGGGUUACUCGCUUUUUGAGAAGUCACGAUAAACGCUCUCCCUUGCACUACCGGUUUUGACUUUUCUGAGACGGUCUUUGGUGCCUCCAUCCUAGCUGAACUUGUCUUCGGUGAAUGACAAAAUCGGGCUAGGUGACCUUCUUUUCCACAAUUAUAACAUGCUUUGGACGGCAUCGCGCAGUUUGGACUGAUAUGUCCCUCCCCUCCGCAUUUGAAACAUAUGAUAGUUGGUCAUUCUCCUUCCUUAACAACGGGUGCUGGUGCUGACGUCUUUCCAUCAUUGUUGAAUUUCCUCUUCUUGAAAUAUCCAUUCUUAUUAUUUUGGCCAUGAUUACCACCGAAGUGGUUACCAUUUCUGGCAUGUUGAUUCCCUUCAUGCUUAUUAUCACCGCUUCGAUGACUGCUAUCACUCGUAUUACAAUUUUGCCGGUUGCUCUCUUUUGGUUGGGUUGACUCACUAUCGCGCUCCAAUAACUGAGCCCUAUUAACAACAUCUGAAUACAAGCAAAGUUUAUGAGAAAUUAGGUAUUGACGUAUCUCGGGUUUCAAACCUCUUAGAAACAUCCGCGUCAUUCUCUCCUCAUUAUCAACCAAAUGGGAUGCAAACCAGGAUAACUUAGCAAACUUGGCUUCGUACUGCGACACGGUCAUGUUGUUUUGCUCCAGUUUAAUGAACUCUACCUCUUUCAUGUGACGAAUACUUUCUAGAAAAUACUUGUCGUUGAAGAAUUCUUGGAACUUCUCUAAAGUCAUCUUCAGUGUGGUAGGUUGAGUACGCUUUACAGAUUCCCACCACUAAUCUGCCUCUGCCCGCAACAUGAAGGUGGCAAAGAGAACCUUUUGCUCCUCAGAGCAACCCAAGACAUCAAAUAUCUUGUUGAUCUAUUUUAUCCACGUCUCUGCCUUAAGUGGUUUUGGCUCUCCAAAAAACUCUGGUGGUCCCAGCUCCUUGAACUGCUUAGCGGUGACCGUUAGAGAGUUGCCAGUGUUUCCACCUGCAUUUUGGAUAGGAGCCGCUCUUGCCUGAUGUUGCAUGAAUUGCAUGAAGUCUCGGAACAUUCCAUCGUUCAUCAUUUGGUCAGUGUUAUUGUUUGCAUGAGGAUUGUCGCCUUCCUGAUGCACAUUAUCCUGAUUAUUGAUCUGUGGUGACUCAAUGGUCUCCUGUGCUCCACUGCUAUUCUUAACAUUCUCGGAUGUCAUUUUCAAAUACUGCCACAAAACAAGGGUUAAUUAACAUAUCACAUAUUAUCCCUAUACUCUGACCGACUAAUUAAAUACCAAAUAAACUUAGGUAGGUCAUACUAGCGAAGGAAUUCCCCGUCUCUCCCCUCCUAGUUCUUGUCUCACAUCUCAGCCAGGGAUCAUAUCCCUAAGCUUUGAUACCAACUGUGACGCCCCCAAAAUAGGUAUACAUCACCCAUCUUGAGUCGCCAAAUACAUGGUACAAAAUUCAAAUACAACUUAAUAAUACAACUGUCGUGUAAAAUACGACAAAACAUAAACUGAGAGUUUUAAUAAGAAUAUUGUCAUCUAGACAAUAUCCACACUCAAAGGAGUCCUCAUUACAUUUAUUGUCACACUAUUUAACAGAAUAGUGAGGACUACUAAUACUAUCAUCUGGACCGUCACUCCGUUCCCCGACUAGUCCCGGCUACGUUCUCAUUUCCUGAAGAGAACAGUGAAAAAAAGGGUGAGCUCAACUAGCCCAGUAAGAAAUAUUAUGACUAAGAUAAUGCAGAAUAAAUUAUCGUUAGCCUUCAACAGUGUUAAACUGAUACAAUAUAACAAACAUCAAGUUUAACUGCAGCGGAACAAGCAAUCCAUUAAAAGAGUCAAGUAGAGAAUAAAAUCUACUAUCUUUUAUGAUUUAAAAGGUUUUUCAUCACUUUUAUCGCUGGGACUCAGCUUAAUAAAUAAUCCACAUCAUCCCUGCACUACGGCCAAGGAUAUUCAUUAGUAUCACAACCACAAAUUAUCCAUGCACUACGGGCCAAGGAUAUUCGUGUAUUCAUCAAUGGUCAUGAUCAUGCCAACAACUGUCCAUCAAUGCACUACGGGCCAAUGAGGACUUUUACCACAUCAUUUGUAACAUUACGGUCAUGAUUACACCGAAUAAUCCCUGGUCAUAAUCAUACCAAGUCCAUCUAUGCACUACAGGCCACAGAUGACUUUCAACAUAAUAUAAACAUGAGGAUGAUGACAAUGAUAUAAGAAUUCAAUAAAACAAGUUCAAGAAUUAAUUUAUCCAGGAACUAAUAACGUCCAAAUUGUCAACAUGAUACUUCUUUGUAGAGUAAAAUUCAAGAAUGCUCAGAAGAAUAUUUCCAUGAAAAGAUACUGGAUGAAGCGCAAAUAUCAAGGAUAUUCCACUAAUUUCAUGGAGUAUAGAAGUCAAAACUUUAACCAACUAAGUAUAAUAAAAUAAUGGAAUAACAAAAGAAAUCACCAUGCAUGCGGUACUUCUCAUAGACAGGUUAUUCCAACUGAAUAAUAAAUAACGGAACCAGGUCAGGCGUAAUAUGCACCGACAGAAUAUUCCAACAGAAUAAUAAAGAAUGGAAUAACAACAGAAAUCACUAUGCAUGCGGUACUUCGCAUAGACAUGUUAUUCCAUCAGAAUAAUAAAUAACGGAAUCAGGUCCGGCGUAAAAUGCACAGACAGGAUAUUCCAACAGAAUAAUAAAGACGGAACCAAGUCCGGCAUAAAACGCACAGACAGGAUAUUCCAACAGAAUAAUAAAGACGGAACCAGGUCUAGCAUAAAACGCACAGACAGGAUAUUCCAACAGAAUAAUAAAGAAUGGAAUAACAGAAGAAUUUCACCAAGUAUAGGGUAGCCCGCGUAUACAGGUUAUUCCAAUAGAAUAAUAAAGAAUGGAAUAACAGAAGUUCUCUUCGGGAUUCACUAUUUGGUCAAAAAGUCAACAGUUGACUUUUUUGGGAAAAGUCAAACUUCAAAAUUUCAAAGUUUAUAUUGUUGAUAAAAAUAGUUUCAUUGUGUUGGAAUUAUUUGUGUUAGUAAAAAUCGAUAUUUAUUUCGAUAAUAAUUGAUGUCUGGAGGUUAUAUUGACCAAUCGGGUAUUUAACCGGAUAACUGAGCAAUUGAUUGCUAUUAUUUCGUAUGAUUAUAACAAUUGGUUCACAUGUGUAUACUAUUAUUUCACAUUCUUGUUACUAUUAGGGGAUUUGGUGCAAGAUUGAUAAUACUUGCAUGACUAAGUUAAAAAUGGAGGUAUAGAUGGAGGUACUAUACUGUAAUUCGUAUUUUCACAUGUCUAGAACUAUUGAUUCACAUNNNNNNNNNNNNNNNNNNNNNNNNNNNNNNNNNNNNNNNNNNNNNNNNNNNNNNNNNNNNNNNNNNNNNNNNNNNNNNNNNNNNNNNNNNNNNNNNNNNNNNNNNNNNNNNNNNNNNNNNNNNNNNNNNNNNNNNNNNNNNNNNNNNNNNNNNNNNNNNNNNNNNNNNNNNNNNNNNNNNNNNNNNNNNNNNNNNNNNNNNNNNNNNNNNNNNNNNNNNNNNNNNNNNNNNNNNNNNNNNNNNNNNNNNNNNNNNNNNNNNNNNNNNNNNNNNNNNNNNNNNNNNNNNNNNNNNNNNNNNNNNNNNNNNNNNNNNNNNNNNNNNNNNNNNNNNNNNNNNNNNNNNNNNNNNNNNNNNNNNNNNNNNNNNNNNNNNNNNNNNNNNNNNNNNNNNNNNNNNNNNNNNNNNNNNNNNNNNNNNNNNNNNNNNNNNNNNNNNNNNNNNNNNNNNNNUUUUGGGGCUCGAAAAAUUACAGUACAAUACCUCUAACUUUUCCUUUAUUUUUAAUUUAGUCAUGCAAGUAUUAUCAAACCUGCACCACCUCCCCUAAUAGUAAAUAAUGUGAAUCAAUAGUUCUAGACAUGUGAAAAUACGAAUUACAGUAUAGUAUCUCCAUCUAUACCUCCAUUUUUAACUUAGUCAUGCAAGUAUUAUCAAUCUUUAACCAAAUCUCCUAAUAGUAACAAGAAUGUGAAACAAUAGUAUACACAUGUGAACCAAUUGUUAUAAUCAUGCAAAAUAAUAGCAAUCAAUUGCUCAGUUAUCCGGUUAAAUACCCGAUUGGUCAAUAUAACCUCCAGACAUCAUUUAUUAUCGAAAUAAAUGUCGAUUUUCACUAACACAAAUAAUUCCAACACAAUGAAACUAUUUUUAUCAAAAAUAUAAAUUUUGAAAUUUCGAAGUUUGACUUUUCCCAAAAAAGUCAACUAUUGACUUUUUGACCAAAUAGUAAAACUCGGAAAAUUUUGUGUUUAUAGUCUAUUUUUAAUAAUUUCAUCGUUCCGGACUCAAAUAUCACGUCCGCGUCUCCAAAUUCAACACCGAGCACAACUUUAAUUUUAAUAACAUUCAUCAAUAAUAUUAUAACUCACAAUAUUUAUCAACCAGGUCGUUCCCAGGAAAGAGGGGGCUUUCCGAUAAGGAUUUCCCCCUAUUGGCGCGCAAUUAGAUUAUCUAACCUCUCCUUGACAGAACUUCUAGACAUUGUAAAUGUUGCAAUUUAAAUAUGAAUAACUUUGUCAUCUCAAUUGUUGAUUUAAUAAAAUAACAUUUUAUGCAAAUGAUACUGUGACAAUAAUUGAAUCAAUAAUAUGAGAGAUAUGAUGCAUCAAUUACUGUAGCAAUAAUGGAGUAUAACUGAGUGACUUCUCACGUAAGCAUCAAUAAUCAAUACCGCGUGCUACUAUGCAACCACGCGUAUUACUGUACUUUUACUACCGAGUAGUUCAACAGUAUUAACGGUAAAACUUCCGCCGUUAUUUUCAUAAAAAAUAUUUGUCAUUUUCUCAAUCAGACAAUAAUUCCGUUGGGGGUCCACCAAUGAUUGUGCCGUCGUACGAAUAUUCCCUAUUAAAAUGAAUAUUCUCCGAUCAAUCAAAUAUUAUAUAACAACUUACAUACUUUGCAAAAUUUAUAAAUACUACCCACAACUAUAACAGUAUAUCAAAUCCACACCAUAAUAUUCAAAAAAUUAUUUCGAGAAAAUUAAAUAUUUAUUCAUAAAAUCUGGGGUCUCACACAACAUGAGCUUAUUAAUCAUAUGACUUGAGCAUACUUGUAACCAUAUGACUUGAGCAUACUUGUACGCAUGCAUAUGAUUAACAUUUAAGCAUACUUGUAAGCAUAUGACUUGAGCAUACUUGUAACCAUAUGACUUGAGNNNNNNNNNNNNNNNNNNNNNNNNNNNNNNNNNNNNNNNNNNNNNNNNNNNNNNNNNNNNNNNNNNNNNNNNNNNNNNNNNNNNNNNNNNNNNNNNNNNNNNNNNNNNNNNNNNNNNNNNNNNNNNNNNNNNNNNNNNNNNNNNNNNNNNNNNNNNNNNNNNNNNNNNNNNNNNNNNNNNNNNNNNNNNNNNNNNNNNNNNNNNNNNNNNNNNNNNNNNNNNNNNNNNNNNNNNNNNNNNNNNNNNNNNNNNNNNNNNNNNNNNNNNNNNNNNNNNNNNNNNNNNNNNNNNNNNNNNNNNNNNNNNNNNNNNNNNNNNNNNNNNNNNNNNNNNNNNNNNNNNNNNNNNNNNNNNNNNNNNNNNNNNNNNNNNNNNNNNNNNNAGUUCUAAAUUCAGCUGUAACACCUAUCUGGGCACUUGACUUUCGUCGUGCCAUCCAACUACGGUCUGAAUAGAGGUCCAUGAUUCCACGGUACCUACUACAGACAACAUUAUAAAUGUUAACAUAUGACUUGAGCAUACUUGUAACCAUAUGACUUGAGCAUACUUGUAAGCAUGCAUAUGAUUAACAUUUAAGCAUACUUGUAAUCAUAUGACUUGAGCAUACUUGUAACCAUAUGACUUGAGUAUACUUGUAAGCAAAUGAAUAUCAUUUAAGCAUACUUGUAAGCAUAUGACUUGAGAGCAUAUAUACUUAUAAUCAUAUGACUUGAGUAUACUUGUAAGCAUAUAAUUAACAUUUAGGCAUACUUGAUGUUAACGAAUGAAUGCAAAUUAAAGAAGUAUGAGAAACUUUAUAUGUUAUUAAAUUUAGUAUGAGAAACUAAGUGAAUGCUACUUAGUUUAAUAGUUAUAUUAUAUCAUGUUAUUUUAUUUUAAUUUGUUUUAAAUUUGUUUUUAUUGUUUAUCGUAAGUGAAUACGUAAGGUAUUUCAUUCAUGCUAGCUUUAUAUCAGAGUUUGCUAACUCAUUUAUACAACUUUUGAGUAUCUUGGAGAUUCAUUCAUAUCAACUAGCACUGCCUAUUUCGGCUAACAGCCCCCUAAUAGCUUACCAUGCUAACAACCAAGCUUGGCUUGGCCCCGUGAGGCUUGGAUAAGCUUGGCGUGGCCUUGUGUGGCCUCGCGGCCCCAAGCCCAGCCCAUCAGCUCCAACAUUCCCUUAAUAGGCUGUAGUGGAUCACAUAUAGGCUCGUUAAUAGUAUAAAUGUUCGCAACUACCCGACCAAUAAAUUUUUUUUGCCAGAGUCUCCCCUGUAAUAUGGACUAGUCACACGCACGCUGACAUGUAUAUAAGGUCAUUUAUAGGCACCCAAGACACAAACCAAGAGUCCACAUAGACGAUCUUGAAUAAGUAUAAGUAAUGUGAAGAAAAGCCUAACUAUUACCCAUAGACGAUCUUGCAUAACUUUGUAUUCAUGGUUUUCAUGAUUUUAACCAAAACAUCCCCUUUAUAGUAAUAGAACAAAUCACAGUCAAGAGACAGAAAACAAUUGUAAAAUUCAAUAACUUAAUGAAGAUCUCCAACACAUUUUAAGACCACGUACUCCACUCCAAUCAGCAGAGACAAAAGAAAGCAUCACUUUAAAAUGAAACAAUAAACUAUUAUAAUUAAUCGAAAACUAUGAAACAGUCGCAAUGAAUCAAAUUCACUGAAAACCCUACCAACAAUCCAUAUAAUCAAGAUACCCAACCCAAGACCCACCAACACAAACAAAAUUCAAUUAGGCAUUGUCCCAUCUAAUAUGCAAAGGUCUUAAAACUUUGCAUAUCAUACACUAUUUGGGACACUUUGCUUCCAUCUAAUAUGCAAAGGUCUUAAAACUUUCUGUAAAUUCAUAGGAAAAUAGGGCAUUGAACCAAAAGUUAUGAAAAAAAAAUUCAAUUAACCCUACCAACAAUUCAUAUAAUCAAGAUACCCAACCCAAGACCCACCAAUUAACACAAAGCAAAUUCAAUUAACCUAAUAAAAAAAGGGGACUGAAUACCUCAAAUAGAGAAUGGGCGAGAAUGAGGGACAGAAUACCUCAGGUGGUCGGCAGAAUGGGCAAGGCGAUGGCGGAAUGGGCGAGGCAGUGGCGGAAUGGGCGAGGCGGUCUCCUUCUUCUCCUUCUUCUCCCCAUAUCUCCCUCUUCUCUAUCUGCUCCCUCUUUUUUUUUCUUCUUCGCGUCUGUGUCGAGCGAAUGACUGAAAUUGGUAACAUUAAGAAUGAUCAGCAACCGCAUGCGGUCGCUGAUUUUUAAUGACGUGGACGCUUUCGGCGACUGCAUGCGGUCGCUGAUAAUGAUUAGUCGCAACAAAAAAACGCGCCAGGGUUUCGCACAAAUUUUUGGGGGAAAUUCAUAUCAGCGACCGAUCAGCGACCGCCUGUGGUCGCUGAUAGCAACUAGCGACUAGAAUUAAUCCCGGUCACAGAUAGCGAUCGCUACUACCAUUAUUAGCGACCGGAUAUGCGGUCACUGAUAUUAUUGGUCGCAGAUAGGCCUUUUUUUUGUAGUGAUAAAGAUAUGAAAAAAAAUAUAAUAUUAAAGAAUAUGAAUACUAAUUUCAUGAAUUAAAAUACAAAUAAAAUAAAAUUUAAAAUUACUUACACCUAUUGCCUCUACCUUAUAUGAGAUAUAACUACUACCACCUUUCUUCUGGUGGGCAUGUCACCAAAACUUUAUGCAGGAAGGUGGGUGCUUAAGGUUAAGUCUCUCCCUGAAUAGGUCGUAAGACUGAGACCCUGUCCAGUGGGGUACAUGACUCUACGAUCUGGCUGUUGUAUAUUGUGUCGACUUCUUUUUAAAAGGGGAGCCCUCCCAAAUGCUUCACAUUCGCUCUUAAACCUCAGUGCCAAUAAAAUAAGGAUGAACAUCUCUAUGUGUUUGUCUGUCUUUCAUCUUGUUAUGUGCCUUCUUCUUCUAGUCAUAGACUCACAUAUGUUAGUUAGUCUCUAAAUAUCGCCAAAAACGGUCAUACCAUAAGCUUCUUUCCCGUCCUCAAAUCGUUAGCAGCGCUGCACAAAACACAUUACAAUAUUGGUAAAUAACAUAAAGUUACAUGUGAAUGAUAAAAAAUAACAUGAAAAUGAUAUAAAAUAACAUAUAAAUACCAUCUUACCCGAAACUCAUCUAUAAUAAGUUGGCAUACGCGCUUGUCCACAUCCGCCCAUCUAAUCCAAGUGUUUGAGAAUCGGUAGCGCACGAUCCCAAGCAAUGUGUUACGAGGAGUAGCGUCUAGGAUACUACACUUGAAAUUAAUACAUUUGAAAAUUCUAAAUUAUAUAUAUACAUGCAUCAUUUUAUAUAAAACAAAUAUAUAUAUAUAUGAGGCGCCUGGGGUGGAUUCCUUAGCAAGUCACGAGUUAGUCCUCUGGAGGCCUACGCCGAUCACCUAUGUACUACAAUAUAUGAAUAAAUUUAUAUAAAUAAAUAUCCUGACGAUAAUAUAAAAAUAACAGUAAGAUAUUAUUGUACCUGAAUCUUUGUCCCACUCAUCACUACCAUGAACCCCACGACUUGUAUGACAACCACAAUCUCUGUGGAGUAUGUGCCAUAUUUAUAUAACUUCAAAGUCAUAAACACAAAUAGAAAACAUUUUUAAUAAAGAUAAUUUUGCACCUUAAAUUAAUAGAAUAAUAUUAGUUACCAAAUGGUUUACAACUACAAACAAAGUCUUCAAUGCAAGAAAAAUUACGUACAACUCCUGCUCAUAAGUGGUUCACUUUUACGUUGAAUCAUUAAGUUACUUUCAAAAAAGGAAAUAGGACGACCUAUUUGAGAAAGGUUGUCACAACUGACAGGACUAUUAUUUUUUUAUGUGUGAUAGUUUUUAGUUUCCAAGAGUCAAAAGAGUCCAUUGGUUAUCUUUAUUUGCUUAGGCACUUGGGAGGUUGUUUUAAUAAGACCUCUGCGGCGAAUGUCAGCGGUCAGAGGCAGUGGAAACCAUGGAGACAAUUUUGAAUAAAAAUUUAAUAUUUGAUUGGGAAAAGGGUAUAAUAAUAAAUUGAUACAAAUAAAUCCAAAAAAAAAGAAAAAAAGAAAAAUCGAUAAAACAAAAUGAAGUGGAAUUUUCUCUUGCAUUCGAUCAUGUUUGCAUGUUGAAUGUUCACUUUAACUCUAGGCUUGGAGAGUGUAAAGUGGGAAUCAAAAUCAAGUUAUUUUUUCUUGUAGCAGUGGCACCAUUGGAUUCUUCCAUGUCUACAUCUUCUGGCUUCAUAUCAUUGGGGAGUUUCCAGUCGAAGUAGUAGAGUAGUUGAGCCAAUGGAAGCUCAAUAGUUGCGGCAGCAAAUGCGAUGCCAGCACAUACUCUCCUUCCCGCACCAAACGGGAUAUACUCGAAGUUAGUUCCAAUGUAAUCCAUGGAGCCAUUUUCGAAUCUCUCGGGUAUGAAACUAUCAGCAUCUACCCAGUGUUCCGGAUCCCUUGCAAUUGCCCAGGCGUUCACAAUGACUUUAGUUCCUACAGGUAUAGUGUAUCCAUCAAUCUCACACUGCUUCCUGCAUUCUCUAGGGACUAACAAGGGCACGGGUGCAUGCAAGCGUAGAGUUUCUUUGACCACCAGCUUUAGGUAACCCAAUCCUUGGAUAUCAGCUUCAUAUAUUAUCGUCUUUCCCUUGAGGGCUUGUCUCACUUCCGCUUGUGCCUUCUCCAUCACUCUAGGAUUUCUCAUCAACUCCGACAUUAUCCAUUGAAGUGUAGCUGAAGUACUAUCAGUUCCGGCUGUGAACAUAUCCUGUCAAAUUUCAUGUGAAAGGUUUUCUGUUAUUUAUUGUAUUGUGAAGAAAAACACCAACUUCUCUACGUGAUUUACCACAAGCUAGUUCUACGAUAUUAGAAACAAUAGAAAUAUAAUUUGAUGAACGAAUGAAUGCUUACCAAAGUGAUGCCUUGGAUGUCGUUGGACGUGAUGGGAAACUCAAGGCGUUGACUCUCGUUGAUUCUUAAAAGAACGUCAAUUAGAUCUUCAUCUGCAUCGUGUAUAUUUUGUUCCUUUCUGGUUGCCAACUUUUCUCUAUGCUCAUUGAUGAUAUGCCCAAAGAUAUGGUCAAGCUUCCACCUCAUGUCCUCCAACUUAGGCCUCAUUCCAGUGAUGUAUUCAAGAAAUUUCAAUUUAGGAAAUAAAUCAACCAUAAAAAAUCCGGAACCCCAAUAGGCUAUAUCUUCAACCACCUCAAUGAGUUCAUCUUGAUACUUGUAUUUCUUUCCAGUUGUCGCCCUACAAAUUAUAGUAUUCGCCAUUCCGGUUACCUUGGUACUAUAAUUGAUAGGCGAUCCUAACGACGAUCGGAUGGAGUCAAUGAGUUGCCAAGACUCCUCCUCUCUAACAUUGCGAAAGGACCGGACUUUAUUGGCACUCAGGAGUUCUGAUGUGGAUAUUUUACCCAUUUGCCUCCAGUAAUCACCAUAGGGAGCCAAAACAAUGUCUCUACUGUUGGCCAAAUUUCAUCAAAUUUCCGAUCAGAGGUAGCUUCUAUGGCCCUGGGGGAAGUUUAUGAGCUGCUUGCGAAGAUCUUUUCAAUAACUUAUUGAUCAACAAAAAUAAAAAGAGGAUGCUGGCUAGGGAAGUACUAAUGAUAGAGAAGAGGGAAUAUUGGAACUCCAUUAUACUAUUUGUUAAACCAAUUGAUUCAGA